GUACGUAGAUGUAUAAAUAUGGCAUUUUUGUCUUAGAUUGUUAGGCUGCUUUUGUACUACUUGUGAUAAUAUAAAGACUGUUAAUCUUACCUUCAUGGUAAUGUUAAGCUCCAAAUUUUAACGCAUUCUGUAUUGCAUAACUAAUGUUACAGAGAUGUUGAGACUCUUUACUGGCUGUUAACUUUUGAACCUUGUCGAUUUUUGGGUUGUCAUCUUGGAUGGUGUGACUUUAAGUUUCUUUUCCUUUGUUUUUGUUUGUUUUGCAAUCAGCUGAAUCAGGAGGCUGAAGUGAGCAACUCCUUGAAAGAUCAGGCUAAUAUCAAUGCUGUAUGGGCAUCAGCUAUAAUUGAAGAAUGCACUCGUCUUGGUUUGACGGUGAGCUGAAUUUUUCAACCAUCUGAUAGAAUCUCAAAUUCAGAUGUAUUUUGUCAUAACAUACUGCCACAGUACUUUUGUGUAGCUCCUGGAUCAAGAUCCUCCCAUCUUGCAAUUGCUGCUGCCAACCACCCCCUUACAACGUGUCUUGCAUGCUAUGACGAACGAUCUCUUGCAUUUCACGCUAUUGGGUAUGCUAAAGGAUCCCUUAAACCGGCUGUCAUUAUAACAUCAUCAGGAACCGCCGUUUCAAAUCUUCUUCCAGCGGUCAGAGUUAUCUUAUUUAUGCUUCACUAAAUUUCUUGGUGCAUGCCACAUUAAUUCGCCAAAUACAUUUGCGUUCUCUUACAGGGUAUUUGUUUUGUGAUUUUUUACAAAUACAGGUGGUUGAAGCCAGUGAGGAUUUCUUGCCUCUGCUACUACUUACUGCAGAUCGUCCUCCUGAACUUCAGGGAGUGGGCGCAAAUCAAGCUAUAAAUCAAGUAAGGUCAAGAUAUGACAUUUCUUCGAAACCAUACACACUUGUUGUUUCGUUUCUAUAUUCUACAAUUUAUUAUGUUCCUUUUUCCUGUGUAACAGAUAAACCACUUUGGUUCGUUUGUCAGAUUCUUCUUCAAUCUUCCUCCUCCAACUGAUCUUAUACCAGUCCGGAUGGUCCUUACUACUAUAGACUCUGCUCUACAUUGGGCAACAGGUUCUGCUUGUGGACCAGUACAUAUGAAUUGUCCUUUUAGAGACCCACUUGACGGUAGUCCAACAAAUUGGUCAUUCAACUGCUUAAAUGGAUUAGACAUGUGGAUGUCCAAUUCUGAACCAUUCACAAAAUAUUUUCAAGUUCAAAGCCUCAAGAGCAAUGGUGAAACAACUGGCCAAAUUACUGAGGUCUUACAAGUAAUCAAAGAGGCUAAGAAGGGUCUUCUUCUUAUCGGUGCAAUCCAUACGGAGGAUGAAAUUUGGGCUUCUCUUCUGUUGGCUAAAGAACUGAUGUGGCCGGUUGUUGCAGAUGUCUUGUCUGGUGUACGGCUGCGCAAGCUGUCUAAGCCUUUUCUUGAGAAGUGGACCCCUAUUUUUGUUGAUCAUCUUGAUCAUGCCCUGCUUUCAGAUUCUGUUAAGAAUUUGAUUGAGUUUGAUGUUGUUAUCCAGGUAAAUUUUAUCAUUUUUUAUUGUUACUUCAUGCAUCUAGACUAAGUAUUGAAGAUGAUAGAUGGAUGGACAAAGGUACUUUUACAGCUUUUGUGGAAACUUAUUAUUCAAAAUAGUAGUCGGGGUUUUGAACGCCUUGAAGGAAGUUUCAACUAAUGAUCAGAAAGUGGGAACUAUUUGAAUCAUGACUAAGUCAACGAUCUGCAUCUCAUAUUAGGGUUCUCUUUUAACAUAUGGUGACUUCCAACCGAGACUUCAGUGAGUAUAAUUAUAUUGAUUUGUACUGAUUAAGUUUGUAAUAUGAAAUCAUGAAUAGGUUGGAAGUCGGAUAACAAGUAAAAGAGUUUCUCAGGUGCUAGAGAAAUGCUUUCCAUUUGCAUACAUUUUGGUUGAUAAGCAUCCAUGCCGACAUGAUCCAUCACACUUGGUCACUCACAGGGUCCAAAGCAAUAUCGUUCAGUUUGCUGAUUGCGUGCUUAAAUCUCGAUUUCCAUGGAGGAGAAGCAAAUUGCAUGGUCAUUUACAUGCAUUGGAUGGCGCAGUAUGUCUUCCAGACAAACCUUUUAAUUAAACAUGGCCGCUUUCAAUAAACAAAUGCUUCCCUGUAGAUUCUGCUUUUAAUAAUUCAUUUAUUUAUGCAGAUUGCCCGCGAAAUGUCAUUUCAAUUAUCUGCUGAGUGCUCCCUGACCGAACCUUAUGUGGCACAUAUGCUUUCCAAAGCAUUGACUUCCAAAUCUGCUCUUUUCAUCGGAAAUAGUAUGCCAAUAAGGGAUGUGGAUAUGUAUGGAUGUAGUUCGGGAAAUUAUUCGCACGUGGUAGAUAUGAUGUUAAGUGCAGAACUGCCAUCUCAAUGGAUACAAGUAACUGGAAAUAGAGGAGCUAGUGGCAUUGAUGGCUUGCUCAGCUCCGCCACUGGCUUUGCUGUAGGGUGCAAGAAGAGAGUAAGAUUAUUUCCUUAUGCCUUUUUUUUUAUUGUUGAGUCGCAUUUCUUGUGGGUACACUAUUAUAACUGUCAGAUCAAUAUCAGCAAAAAAUAUUGUGGGGAAAGUUUUCUUGGUUCUUCUGUUCAUUAACCAUGAACCGAUCAUACUACUUCAUUCUUAGUGUGCUGACCGGAUACUCCCUAAUGGAACAUGUAGUUUUUAUGUGUGAAGUGAAAGGAAUAAAAGAACCAUUUUACUCAUGUGUUUGUUUACCGUUUCGGAAAUUAAAUCUUCUCAUCAGCCAAACAAACGUAUAUCAGGUUGUCUGUGUGGUGGGAGACGUCUCUUUCCUUCAUGAUACAAAUGGAUUGGCGAUUUUGAAGCAGAGGUAUCCAAUUUACUCUGUUUUAUUCUUUUAAUUUCACUGUUUUGUGAUUUGUACACUGAAGAUAUGCCGUGGUUAUAAGUCAAUUUGACGAUUCAAUAUCUGAACUUUAAUCUGAUUUAUUAGGACUGCGAGGAAAGCAAUGACAGUUCUCGUGAUAAAUAACCGUGGAGGUGGAAUCUUCCGACUUCUUCCUAUAGCAAAGAGAACAGAGCCUAGCGUGUUGAAUCAAUAUUUCUAUACAUCACAUGACAUUUCCAUAGAAAACUUGUGUUUGGCACAUGGGUAAGAAAUAUACCAACAGUUUUUACUCUGUUUUCCCUUCCCGCUUUGCUACUACUUCAAUGUGCUCUGGUUUUCACAAUGUAGGUUUUUGAACAAAGAAUAGUGGAUAAAUUUUUUAGAUUGGUAGCUUAGAUUAGAUGGUCGUUAAAUUUGUUCACCGUAGUCUAUAGUCGAGUUGGUUCUGCAUGAUUUAUGAUACCCUUAGGCGAGUAGAGUUUUCCUUCAUUGUCUAUUAUAAUAAAUAACUAAGCCAACUUGUUAAAUAUGCAGUGUGAAGUAUGUACACGUUGGGACAAAAAGGGAACUUGAGGAAACUCUAUUGGAACCCAGCGUUGAAGAGAUGGAUUGCAUUGUGGAGGUUGAAAGCUCUAUUGAUGCUAACGCGAUCGUUCAUAGGUUGUUUGGGCUUCUUUUUUAAUAUUUUAUAAUGUCCCCACUUUCUUGUGCUCUUUGUUGACAUUGACUACUCGUUCACAGUACUUUGGAGAGUUUUGCACGCCAAGCUGCAAAUAAUUCCUUGGGCAUUAUCUCGGCCAGUUCUGUUCUUCAUCCAAUGAUCGACAGUGUACUUCUUUUCCAAGUCUCUGGAAUACAAUAUUCGCGGUACAGGUAAGAAUUGUCCGAAACUGUAUCUGAAUAUUACCCCUCUCUUUUUCUUUUUCUAAGAAUAACUUUCUUUUCAGAGUCGGACUGUGCGACAGACCUACCAUAUAUUCUGGUGAAUCCUCUCAAUUCCAUAGAGAAGGGUUCAUACUCUCCCUUACUUUGGAGGAUGGAAGCAUUGGCUGCGGAGAGGUUUGCUAUUUUAUUCCGUUAUUUUUUAAUCACUAAUUUUACAUUUUUGUACAUUUCUGCUUCUUCUCCCUCCCAUGUCCCACUGCUAGAGUAAUAAUAUAUUGUAUGCAUAUGCCUGAGAAUCAUGUUACGUGUUUCAUGAGCAGGUUGCACCUUUGGACAGUAGUAGGGAGAACUUAAUGGAUGUUGAGGGGCAGCUACAGUUGAUUCUUCACCUUAUGAAAGGAGCUAAAGUCAGUCACAUGCUUCCUUUGUUAAAUGGCUCGUUUUCUUCCUGGAUUUGGAGUGAACUUGGAAUCACUGUAAGUUUCCGUAGCCUUAAUUUUUCCAGUAGAAAAUUAUUACAUUAGUACAGCUACUUUCUAUCAGGAGAAAAUUGCAAAGUAAAUGAACCGAUUCUGCUGAGCAUGAUUCUUUUCUAAAUCGUGCUAGGUGAAAAAUAUUCUUGAUCUUCGUAGUCUUCUUAUACAGAGUAUAGUUCCUGGGAAUGGUAAUUGAAGGCUUGUCAAUUUACUUAUUUUUUCAGGCAUCAUCAGUUUUCCCAAGUGUCAGAUGUGGUCUGGAAAUGGCUCUUCUGAAUGCAAUGGCAGUAAAACAUGAUUCUGGUUUAAUGGGGAUACUUCAUUGUCAGAAAGAAGAAAAUGGUUCUGCUCAGCCACACUCUGUUCCAAUAUGUGCCCUUCUUGAUUCUGAAGGUACUCCAUCAGAGGUCGCAUACGUUGCUAGAAAACUUGUUGAAGAAGGGUUCAGUGCUAUUAAACUUAAAGUAAGCCAACGUUGUUUAAGCAUAUAAACAAGAUUACACUCAGUCAUAAGAGUAAGAUAGCUGGAUUUGUUUUCUUAAUGCUUCUUCUUAGUAGUAUUUUCAUGCAUAAAUUGAAGUAGUUGACUUUCUCACUCUUCGGGUUUUCAAGCUAUUGAUUACUGACUGAAGGAUAAACCUGCCUAAAAUUACAGGUUGCUCGUCGAGUGAACUCCGUUCAAGAUGCUUUAGUUCUGCAAGAAGUAAGGAGACUAGUUGGCGAUCAAAUUGAACUCCGUGUAGAUGCUAAUUGUCGCUGGACUUUUGAAGAGGCUAUAACGUUUGGUUUAUUGGUGAAAAAAUGCAAUCUACAGUAUAUUGAGGUCCGGUACAGUAUAAAUUAUUGCAAUCUGAUUGAGUUCUGAAGUAUUUCUUGAAAAUUAACUUAUUUUUCUUUCCUAAUAUAAAUUCAGUGAAAAACUUUUGAAUAUUUCAGGAACCUGUCCAGAAUAAAGACGAUCUUAUAAGGUUUUGUGAAGAAAGUGGAUUACCAGUAGCACUUGAUGAGACUCUUGAUGAUUUUAAGGAAUGUCCCUUGCGCAUGCUUGCCAAAUAUACCCAUCCUGGAGUAGUUGCUGUUGUAAGCCACUGGUCAUUCUUCUACAACCUUUACAUGAGCCUGAGAUUGCUAAAAAAUAUAUUCUUUCUUGCAUACCAAGUUCUUUCAUCAACUCAUCUUGGCUCUCUUCUUUGUUUGAUUUGGAGAUGGGUUUCAGUUUUGUAGCUAGGAUCAAUAGUAUAUCAGCUCUAUCAUCUUAUACUAUGGGCUUUUACCUUAUUUAAUUUUUCUCUUGGAAAUCAGUUAGUGUUCACUUUGUUUUAUCAUUACUUGAUAUUCGUAGGUUAUUAAACCAAGUGUUGUCGGAGGGUUUGAGAUUGCAGCACUGAUUGCUCGCUGGGCACAGCAGCAUGGAAAGAUGGCUGUUAUAAGUGCCGCAUAUGAAAGUGGCCUAGGUUUGUCAGCAUAUAUUUUGUUUGCAUCAUAUUUGGAGACGGAGAACGUCAAAACAUUUAGAGAGAGAAAGCAAGGAAUGGCCCCUCUUGUGGCUCAUGGUCUUGGAACCUACAAAUGGCUUAAUGAAGACGUAAUGAUGAAUAGUUUAGGGAUAUCUCGUAGUCCGUACAGUGGAUUUAUCGAAGGAUCUGUUGCUGAUGCUAGCAAAAAUCUAAAGGAUGUUAACAUAAACAACGAUGUUAUUGUAAGAACCAGCAUAGGAGUUCUCGUCCGGAGGUGUGAACUGAGGGUGGACGUAGGUGGUUUCUCUCAUUUUGUAAGAAUCCACGAGGUUGGGCAGAAUGUAGAAGUAAGUUUCUUCCGUGUUUUUGAUUUUGUAUGUCUGAAGCUAAAAAGACAUAAGCAUGAUGUUCUUGGUUAAUUUCUUCCUAGCUUCACUCUCCGGUAAUGUAUUUUCAGGGAAGUGUAGUUAUGUUUCUUCAUGGGUUUCUUGGAACUGGUGAAGAAUGGAUCCCCAUCAUGAAGGGUAUCUCGGGAUCUGCAAGAUGCAUUUCAGUUGAUAUCCCUGGUCAUGGAAGCUCAAGGGUACAGAGUAAUGCUAGUGAGACCCCAACUUUCUCAAUGGAGAUGAUAGCGGAAGCACUGUAUAAAUUGAUUGAGCAAAUUACUCCUGGCAAAGUUACCAUAGUUGGAUAUUCCAUGGGAGCAAGAAUAGCACUGUACAUGGCUUUGAGAUUUAGCAACAAGGUGGGUUCCCUUUAUCUGAAAACUCAACAUUGUUAAUUGUUUUAGUAAUGCGUAUAAUGGAAUUUGGUGCUGUUCUAAUAGAUCGAAGGCGCUGUUGUGGUAUCGGGGAGCCCCGGGAUCAAGGAUCCAGUGGCAAGGAAAGUUCGAAGUGCAACAGAUGAUUCUAAAGCACGAAUGAUGGUUGACCAUGGACUAGAAAUCUUUGUGGAGAACUGGUACAAUGGAGGCUUGUGGAAAAGGUGUCUUUCUUAAUACACUGUUACCUUUUGUAAUUUGGUGAAUUCAUUAUUUGGACUUGAGUUCAUUACUCAUAUGAGUUGCGCUUUUCAUUGAGCAGUUUCAGAAGUCACCCCCAUUUCAGAAAAAUAGUUGCAAGCCGCUUGGUACAUGAUGAUGUCCUUAGUGUUGCAAAGUGCCUCUCAGAUCUGAGCACUGGGAGACAGCCGUAAGUUCAUCUUUUGUAACCUUUUUUUUUUAAUUCCAAGGCGAUGAUGAUCUUUAGUGCUGAUGUCCUUUGAAAAAUAGGUCAUUGUGGGAAGAGUUGGCUGAUUGUGAUACAAAUGUCUCACUUGUCUUCGGAGAGAAAGAUGUAAAAUUCAAGAAAAUUGCUAGUAGGAUGUACCUUGAGAUGAGUAAAAGCAAGAAGAGCGAAAUCCAUAUCAUUGAGACGGUUGAAAUCCCAGAAGCUGGCCACGCUGUUCAUCUGGAGAGCCCUCUCCACUUGAUCCUCGCUCUUAGAAAGUUCUUAACAAGAGUGCGCAAAAACUCUGCAGAGACAGAGCUUUCGCAGAAGCUCUUGUUAGCACUUAAAGAAACAUAAGCAAACUCUACCGAAAUCUGAGAAAUGUAUCAGAUUUUGGAUAAUGAAGACAUUAUUUUGAUUAUUGAAUGGACCUUUCUCAGGCAUGAACUAAAUUGAUUUAAGUAAUCAUAUAUAUUUUGUUUUGAAUUUGUGUAUUGCUCCGCUGUCUAAUAAAGUAGAAGUUAUGAUGGUUCUCUGGUUGUUCUCAUGCUCUCUCUCAUGUUCAAAGAAAGCAAAUAUCACAUGAGCUUAGAAGACAUGCUAGUAUUAACCAAACUUCAGGUGAUGAUGAUUUAAUGAUCAGCAAAACAUUCUACUGUAAGAUCUUACUAUAUAGUUUACCUCCCCAAAGGAGGCUUCAAAACAGUAUUUGAGGAACACUAAAUCACUUCAACACCAAUAAACAUCAAUCUCUUCUUCUUAGCUGUCUUAAAAUUAGAUAAUAUACUAAUAUACUAUGGUGGUUUCCAGUCUCUUAACGCUCACAGAAACAGGUUCCAAAGCUGCAGUUUACAAUCUUGAAGCCUUUAGGACAGUACUUGAUGCAUUCGUUGUCUCUACGGCAAGACACAUCAGUCUCGUAACUGUCCAUUAUAGGUGCUUCACAGCUCUUCUUUCCAUCACGACAUUUUCCACAGAGGCAAUUCACUUCUUCCUUGGCCAUCUCUCUUGCAUCAACCAAAGAAGAACCUUUAUCACAAGCACACCACAAACUUUAAAACAAGAUCAAAUCAAGAACUCUGUAGCAUAGAGAAACUUAUCAUAGAAGAAGCAUACAAAAUGCUAUGACUGAGAUGGUGAAGAGGAAGACCAACUUGAGAGACGUUUUCUCCAUUGCUUAUUGUAACCUCAAAACUUUUUUGUUUGUUUGUUUCUUUUGAUUUUGUAAGUGUUAAAUUGCGUUGUCUUCUUUUAUAGAAGAACAUUAAAAGGAAAUAAAUAUUUUAUCUGAAAGUUUUAAGACAAAGCCAAACCCAAAAUAUAUAAGCCAAAAAAGAAGCAUACAAAAAGUGCUAUCUGGGGGAGAACAAGAAGACAAACUUGAGGGACGUUUUCUCCAUUACUAAUUGUAAUCUCAGAAUCUUUUUCUUGUUUAUUUUUAUUUUACAAGUGGUGAUGAAGAGAAAAAUCUGGUUGCCUUCUUUAGUAGAAGGAAGUUUAAAAGGGAUCAAAUCUUUUGUCUGAUGAAAGUCAUACCAAGUUCAGUCAGAUACUAUUUGACUACACAUUGUUUUGUUCCUACUUGAGAUUUGAUCAUUUUAGGAAAUCACUUUAUAAAUGUUGAUUUUAUUUUUGUAGAGGAAAUAAAACUAGAGUUGAGAUUCAUUGUAUGAAGUAAAUACAAGAGACAAUGAGUAUUCACAACACAAUAUGUGUUUACAAACUAAUCACUUUGACUAUGAGGCACACUAUCAUAAGAUUUUUGCUCUCAUAAGAUUCUUAAUAAGAGUGCGCAAACAUUAUGCAGAGGCAGAGGUUUCUCAGAAGCUCUUGUUAGAGCUUAAACAAUAUUUGGAACAUGAGAACUUGUUGGCCUUUAGUACUCAAUUAUUUCAAAUUCCAGUUGUAUUGAAUACUAUUUGCAGAUAUAUGUUUUCAAGAAGAACAAUUAAAUUGACUGCAAAAUUGUUUUAUAUAUACUUUUUUUUAUCUCUUGUUCCUCUCUAUCUUUAAAAUAGAAAUUAUUGUGGUUUUCAAUCUCUUAGCACUCACAGAAACAGGUUCCAAAAUUACAGUUAACAAUCUUGCAGCCUUUAGGACAGUGCUUAAUGCAUUCAUUGUCUCGACGGCAAGAUGCAUUAGUCUCGUAAGUGUCCAUUAUAGGUGCUGCCGGCGGCAAGCAGUUCACCUCUUCCUUCGCCAUCUCUCUUGAAUCACCUAAAUACGAACCUACACACCAUAAAACAUUAGUAAUCGAUACAAAACCAAAGCAACAAUUAUAUAACAAAGAAGAACUGAUCAUAGUCAUAUAGAAGAAGAAGCAUACAAAAGACUAUGAUAGUGAGGGAGAACAGGAAGAGAAGCUUGAGAGACAUUUUUUCCAUUGCUAAUUGCAAUCUCAGAAUCUUUUCUCAGUAAAUUGUUUAUAGUGCAAGACUGCAAGUGAUGAGGAAAGAAGUCAUAUUGUCUUCUUAUAUAGAAGAAAGUUAAACGGUAAAAAAUAUUUUUUAUAAAGUUUUACCAAAUUGAGUCGGAUACUAUUUGAUUGCACAUAUUGUACAUUGAGCAUUUACAACCAAAUAUACAAUUGGCUAAUGAUAUUUCCAAGAGACAAAUUUUUCAAACUGAUUUUUUUUUCUAGUAACAAACGCCAAAGCAAAGAAUGAAAGAAAGCACAAAAGCUAAGGCCAAAACUAGUAUGCGUCUCAAGUUGGGUGCUCUUCUGAUCUCAGUGUUCAUGCUACUCUUUUCAGACGCAUAGUGAUCCUCCGGUUCAACGUCAGUUUCUGGUUCUUCCCUUGUUCUCUCAUCCUCCUGUUUAAAGAGAGCAAAACACACACAUAAGAUUAGUACAAGAGAGACAAUGAUAUACUAAGAACAUCGCGUUUUUGUAAUGAAUACCUGCCUGCAGACUUUCAGCAUUAAAAGGCAGCUCUUUGUCCCCAGCGUAAGUUCCAUUUCUUUGGUAUUUACUUCCCAUUGAGCAUUGAUUCACUCUCAGCUUUUCAUUUUCCUUAGCCAAAGAAUUUAGCUGCAAAAAAAAAGAGAUUAAUGGUUGGCUCUUGUGUCACCUUUGCUUGUAUACAAAGAAAAAUAUUAGGCAGAUAGCACAAAGUACCUGUUCUUGUAUACGUUCCCUUUCACUGGAUAACUGCAUCACCAUAUCCAUCAAAAGCUUGUUCCUCACAGUUAUUUCUUGUGCAUUUUUCUCUUUCUCAACGUUAGCUAGUUCCAGCGAUGCCUCCAAGGAUUUGGCUCUUUGCCUCAAAAGGGUCACUUCUUUGUUAAGUACAGAGUUAGCUGUAGAAACCACAACGCAUUUCUCCUCAACUGUCUCCGUUCUACUCUCAGCUUUUGAGGCUUUAGAUUUCAAAUCUUCGAUCAAAGUCUCCAUAUCCCAUAUCGCCGUAUACAACAUGUUCUGCUGUUCUUGACUUGCUUCUGAUGAUACCUUGGAGUUUUGUAAUUGGAAUUCUAAUUCCCUGACUUGCUUCUCGAGUGAGCUCACCUUCUUUGUCUUUUUCUCAUCAGCAUCUUUGAGAAAAUUCAGUUCCUCAGUAAGUUCAAGAUUUGCAGCAUCCACCUCUUUAAUCUUAGCUUCUCCACUCUCAGCUCUGCUUUCAGCCUCGAAAAGGCUUUCUUUGAUGGACUCAUUCGCGUUCUCCAUUUCAGCAAGAUGUAACAGAACUUCUUGUUUAGAGGCAUUGACACUUUUCAGCUCACUCUCGGUCUUUUCGAGUUUUUCUUCAGCUGACUUCACUUGUUCCCUUAAAGUGAGUACUUCUGAAACCAUCUCUCGAUUUUCAGCAAUUGUUCCCUCAAGGUUUUGCACCAAAAGAUCUUUCCCUUCGAGCUGUACAGUCAGAUCUUCAAGCUUAGCCUUGAGUUCUGACUCUCGUUGUGCUGAACCAUUCUGACUAAACUGGAUAAUCUGAAGACGGCCAACAAGCUCCUUUGAGAUACCCAUGAGCACCUCUGAAGAGUUUUCUGCUUCUAGAAACUGUCCCCAUAUAAACUCUGAAGCUUCUUCCAUCCUAGAAGAAACCUCCUCUGUGUAGUGUAGCUUGAGUUUCAGCUCUUCUUCGUUUUGCUGGAACUCUAUUAGCUUCUUCUCAAGCUCUAACUCUCUUGCUAAUGACUUCUCCAGCAUCCUCAGAGCAUUUUUAUGCCUUAAGUCCGAUGGUCUCAAAGCAUUUUUCUGCCUUAAAUCUUCACCGUGUCCUGAAUACCCCACUGACUCCUCGUUUUCACCUGCCAACAUGUUUGUAUUCAUUGCACAAAACACUUCAAAACAACCAUAUAUUUUCUCUGUUUCAUAAUAUGUGUCGUUUAAGUUUUUUGCACACCGAUUAAGAAAAUUAGCAAUUUUUUUUGUUUUACUCCUAUUUAAUACUCUCUUUUUUUUUUGCUAAGAUGCACUAUUUUAUUUGAUUUUUGUUAACUGAUAUAUUAAAAAUAUAAGGGUAAAAGCUGGAAAUUUUAUUUAAUAUAUGCAUUGAAAAUGUAAAACAUCACCUAUAAUGAAACAAAUUUUAAAAACUAAAACGACACUUAAUAUGAAACGGAGGAAGUAUGAUCAAUGCUUACUAGAUGCCAAAAAAAAAAGAUCAAUGCUUACUUGUGCCAUUUCUUAUGUAAUGAAGUGUCCUUCGAAGCUGAGCUAGUUGCAAGUUGAUCUCUGAGACUUGUCCCCUAGACUGCUUCAAGGAAUCUGCAGAUUCACCCAACUUGCCUUCCAAGAAGAUAGAGUUUGGGUGUUUGCAAGUAGAUAACUUGUAAGAAGCGUCAACUAUUUGGGCUUCCAGCUCAUCCAAAACCUCAUCCACCUCCUUCACCUCAGACUCCAAUAUACCGCACAGCAGAUCAAACGUCAAAGCUUUCUCAAAGGAAGCUGCGGAAGAAUCAAGUGUCCCCACCCUUUCAAGAUCAUUAUCCCAAGCCAAAAGGUGCAUAAGAAGAACAUGCAGGUUCAGCAGUUUUUCACUAGUAUAAGCCGAGUCCAUCUCUAGCUUUGCCAGCAUCCCUUCUAUCCCUUGCUCCUCCUCACUUCUACUAGAUGAGUAAGCUUCACCGUGAUUACACACAUCUUCCUGAACGAUUUCCUCCAUCUUUGGCCUGGAGAAUCAAAUUUUCAAAGCUUAGCUACGAAAAAGGAAACAUUCUAACCCAAUAUAUGGAAACCAAAAUGAGUUUGUGACUGAAUGAAUUUGUAAAGGUAAAAGGCACAAUCUUUCAAAUGGAGUUAUCUUCUCCUAUGCAAGUUCAAGAACCUCUCUCUCACUACAAUGGUACUCAAUAUUAAUAUCACCAGGGAGACAUUAAUAGUUAUGUUUCCUCAGAUAAAAAAAAUGCCUACUUUGGACAAAAACCAUAUGCAAAGAGAACUCAACUAGUCAGACAGUGUAAUGUAGCUACAAUUCUGGUAAGACUUAACAUUUAAGGAGAUCCAUCAACAAAUGGUACUUACAAAAGAUUCAAACUUUACCAUUGAAAGAUCAAAAUUCAACAAGCUAGAAACAAAAAAAAAAAAUCAAGAAACAGAAAUGGUCGGUUCCAUUCACUUGGAACAGACAAAGACAGAAGGUUCCGACAAGUCAAAUAGGAUCUGGAAAGAAAGUAACCUUACCGAUGAAACUCUGCACGAGCUUUGUCGAAUAAACAGAGAGGUUUCUCCGUCGACGGACUCGAGUUUGGGGUUUGGUUUCCAAGAGUACGAGAAUGAUAAUGCUAAAAUGCGCCGGGGUUGUUUACAAGUCAGCUAACGAUGCAGAAAGCGCGCGCAUGAUAGUUUUGUAGACUUGGAUCGGAGUCGUGCGCACGUUAGCCGAGGGCUUUUUGUGGUGGACGUUGUACUUGUAUUAUGUUAUUGGAGAGGAGCGGAAGAAACCACUUUUGGUUACAGCCAAAAAGGACUAAAAUUGACAAAAAUAUAUUCUCUUGUGAUAUAUAUAUAUAUAUAGUUUGACAGUUUAAUGUAAAUGUUUCAAGACUUUUUAAAAAUUCAAAAAAAUUAGUUGAGCAUAUAUUUUGUUCUUUAAUGUGUAGAUAAAAAUGAUGCAUUCACAUUUAAGAUUAUGAUUUCAUUCAUAAAUAGUGAUUUUUGUGUUUAUAAUGCAAAAUUUUAGUAUAAUUUAUAUAAGUUCUGUUAAGUACAAUUUUAUUACUGAGGUUAUUGCAGUUUAUGGUUGAAAUGGCAUUUGUGUGUAUUAAUUUACUAAAACUAUAACCCCCGCCACAUCUAGGAUGUAUCGCUCUAAUCCCAGUUGAGAAGUGUGUGUUGGAUAUGCCGCUGCAGCUAGAGGUGCAUAAGUAGGUAUGCCUGAUGAUGAUGGAUAUAGGCAGUGUUCCACUGAUGUGAUCGUGAAGAAGCGGCUUGGAAAGUUUGAGGCGGUGCAGGUGUUAAUGCUUGUGUUGGGCGGGGGUGCCACUGAUGUUGUUGCGGAGGAGCUUGUGACCAAGUAUGAAGCUGUGCGUCAUUGUUAGUUUUCGCCCAUUUCAUCAUAUCUGAAACACAUGCCCAUCUCAAUCAUUUACUAGGCUAUGUGCAAUUUAUAAGAAAAUACAUGUAAUCUGUGAAAAAAGGGUCCUAAUUUUUUUUUUUUGAAAAGGACCAUAAACCUUAACAAAAAUUUACAAAAUAAUUAUGGGUCAUGUGUAAAUGUGCCUUGGGUACAUUGCCAAGAGACGGGCCAGCUGAAACGAGAGUCUCAUCUGCAGCUCCCUUGCUUUUUAGGCUCCUCUGAACUACUCCGGCAAGGCAAAAAGAGUUUAUAAUGCAGAUCUUCAGCUUUUUCAAUGGAAGCAUCAUCUCCAAAACGGCUCAGGUACGCUAUGUAUCUUAUCGAUAUAUUUUUUCUCUCAGAUUAACUUGCAGAGUGCUGUAUAUCUGUAGCAUUUGGAUUUAUAAAAUUUUCAGUAAGUGCUUAAAUUUAUCAAGGUUGCUUGGAAGUGGCAGAAUAAAUUAAAUCCAAAAACAACAGUUCUUGGAUCAACUGUUUUGACUUCAUUAGUUAACACGAGCCGGAUUAAUCAUUGUUUUUGUCUCUACUGGGAAAUUAGUUGGGCAUCGGUGCAGAUAUUUAAAAAAACAUAUAUUUUUUUAAUGUGAUAUCAUUUAUUGUAUGAUUUUUAUGAUUAUAUAGUAUAUUUAAAAUUUUAAAAAGUAGAGUAAUUAUUAUUUUUCAGCUUAGUUACUCCAUUUUCCACCGGUCAAAAAUAGUAAAUGUAUAGCACAAUUAUACUUUACCUUAAACAAAAGAAAAAUUUUACUCUCAGUUUCAUUUUUUAUUUCCUUCAUUUCCUAUUUUUAUUUUCCACAUUUUUACUCUAAUAAAUACUAAUCAGAGCCAUAUAUAGUAUCAGGUUUAGUAAAGUUUAGACUAUGUGUUUAUAGUUAAAAUGAAAAAUAUGUCAAAUGUACAAGAUUUUGAUCAAAAUGGUUGGGUUAAGAUCGUAUAAUUGAUAUCGAACAUGACUGAUAGAAGAGAUCCACUAUAAUUCAGAUUCCACCAACCAUCAACUGAUAGAAAGUCAUUUCCGCAUAUGGCAAUACUUGAACAAAAGAGAAGGAAUAGAGAACAUUCCUUAAGAAAUGUUUCGUACACCGUGAAAUGUUUCAAAAAAAAACAUUCUAAAGACGUCAGUCAUGAUCUGUUAGACACAGCCGGAAGAAGUAAUAUUGUCUCUAUAGGGAUCUCAAGUGACUCUCUCAACUCCUGAAAUGAUUUCACUGUAUUAGCAGUUUUUGGAGCCGAAAACACCAGAAGAUAAGUGACCAAACGGCUUUGAUUCCCGGAACUUCUUACGGGAAUCAAAGAACCACCUGACACGCCUGAUAGGCACCGGAGCAGGGGUGGAACCUUGGCUCUGGAACUCCUAGAGGUUUGGGGACCACCUGAAAAAGGAAGAAAUACAAUGGAGAGAUAAAUAGGUCAUCUUCAGACAAACUAAUGGACCAUCAGAAGACGAAGUCAAGGUAGAAGUGGGCACAAAUACUUGAUAUCCGGCUUGUACUCGGUACUUGACUCGACUUGGUUUGAGAAAACAAGUACUUGAUACAAUCAAGUCAAGUAACAAGUAAGCGGAUUUUAUUACUCACAAGUACAAGUCAAGUAUCAAGUUUAUUUUUAUUUUUAAUUAUUUGGUUUGUUACUUGACUCGUUACUUGUUAUUCUUUAUUUGUCCCAUUACUUGUUAUAUAUUACUUGUUUUAUUAAAUAUUUGGUAUCAAUUUCACUAGUUAAUUAAAAUUUAUGUAUUGCAUUUUAUGAGUGGCCACAAUUACUCGUUACUUGCUUCCUAAUCGCUAUUUAACCAGUACAUGAUCCUUAAAGUUGAGUACUUGUUCUGGCCAAUUCGAUAUCAAGUAAUCUAUUUAAAUCAUUUGCAAGUAUAAAAUAAAUAUCAAAUAUUAAAAUAAAUUAAUUACUUAGUGUUGUUUGGUUCAAUACUAAGAAAUAUACAUUUUCUUAGAUCAUAGUAAAAUAAUUUGUUUAUGUUUCCAUUUUCAUAACUGAAUCAAACAUAAGUGAUAUAUUUAUAUAAGCAUUUUGAAAUGUUCUCUUUCUUAUAUAUUCUAAUUAUUAAAUUGACUAAAAUAAACGAAAACAAUGACAUGUUUUUAUAUAUAUAUACAUAUAUUAUAGUUUCUUUUGUUUUUAUUAUUGAUAAUGAUUAAGAUAAAUAAAAUAACAUUAAUUUAUGAUUGAGUAGAAUGAUAUGAAAAAAAAAUAUUAGCCAAAGAGAUCGAUCUUAUGACUAAAAUAGAUAAAUUAUUGUAAUACAUAAAAAAACUAUUUUAUGUCAGUUUUAUUUUAUUUUUAGCAUUCAGUCCAAUAUGGUGAUUUAGUAAAUUAGUUUGAUCAAUUAGAUGUGUAUUUCUUUUACAAAAUUAUGAUUUCAAGAAUCGAACCAAAUCCGAUCUGAAAAAGUAACAUUGAACCGAACUGAAACCCAUUAAAUACUUAAAUAGAUUUAGAAUUUUAGUUUCUGAAAAAUUCGAAACUGAAGCUAAAGAAUAUCCGAAUAAAUACCCGAAUGUUCAUCUUUAUACAUAAUUAUUGGUUUCUAUUUGUUUUGCGUAAUUUCUUUAAUUUGUAUUAUUACUUGAUCUGUAUUAUAAAUUUGAUAUGUAUUUUUAUUCUGCAUCAUCAUUCAAACACUUUAUGGCCUUCUCAUACUUAUUUAAACGCUUUCUUUUACUCUUUUCAUGUAUUGAACAAUAUUGGUCAAGCCGGUACUUUUGUGGCCACGAAGCCAUAGUAAAGCGAUCAUGUGUUUCUUGAAAGAUGAAGGAGAAAAAAAAACGUAAAAUGAUUGCGGUCUUGAGAUGGUCAAGACUAUCUUACUUUGCCUUUAGGCAUGGAGACACAUGUCAAUUACUAUACUAUCCUUAAAAGUAAUGCUUUCAUGUUCUUGUCACAUUUGUCUCUUACUAUGCCGUAUUCACUUCAAAAUUAUUGAAAUUAAUGAAUAAUUAUCCAAAUAACAGUUCGACAAUGACUUUGAUAAUUCUAUGUCAAAGUAGUAUAAUAAUAUCAAUCUAAUCUUAAGUGAUCAUAAAACGAAAAGAAUGCAAGUGAAUGUUUAAUCUAAAUGGAAUCAAAGUAGUUAAACGAUUUCAAUUUAAGAACCAAACAACCAAGAACAAUAGUUAAAGUUUUCAAUCAAAUGAUAAGGUAGAACUCAUAGGCUUAAGACAAUUGAUUCAAGUCAAUUAAUUUCAAAGUCAAAGUAUUAACUUUAAGCAUUCAUACGUUCUUAUAUGUCUAGAACACUAAUAAAAAUCAAUUAUUUUCCAAGAUAGAAAUCUAUAUGCAAUCAUAAACUAAACAUCAAUUCUGUUGGUUUAAAUCAUUCAAGCAUGCAUUAUAUUUGAAUCUACUAACCAUCUAGCAAUCAUAACAUCAAAUCUCUUUGGUUAUUCAAGCUAGAACAAUAUCAAGAUGAGAGUAAUCAAGUCAAAUUAAGAAUUAAAAACACUUAAUAUGGUAGAAACAUGUAGAUCUAACAAUAAACACAUUUACUCUUCACUAAUCACCCUAUAUCUACCUAACCCACGGAUUUAAAAGUAAUCUACUCACUAAUUUCCAUGUUUAACCUUAAACACAUGAUAGAUUCAAAACUAAUCAUGUCAAAAAAAUGAGAUAGAUUCAGAUUAACACAAGAAAGAAAGAUUAGAUUAAUAGAUGCUCAAGGUUUCACCAAAGUAAUAGAAUAUUUUUGGAAGAAAACAAAAUAAGUCCACAUUUUAGGUCUAAGAUGUAUUUAUAGGAUUUCUAAAAAUCUAGCGGGGUCCAGUCAACAAGUCUAAAAAAACCCAACAAAACAUAAAAUUUUGACCAAGUAGAAAAUGCCACGCGGGUUAGUGAAGUCGCUACGGUCGGUCGCUCUGCUUCACAGCUGGAUGGUCGCUCCAGCAUUUGCUCGAUACUCCAAAUAUUUGUGCGUGUCUGAUGCACCUCGCUCCACUUCGUCUCUCUGGCUCUCGAAAGUUGUCGAGGAUGGUGACUCGUCCAGAGCGGGUGCUCAGCCCGCAACAGCACCUCGCUUCGCCUUCAUCUCGUCUGGAGCGGCUGCCUUAGGUUGGUGUGAGGACCCACUCUGAUGCUCAACUUACCCAAUCAUCAUUUUCUACUCAUUUUUGAAUCCAAAUGCAAAUAUGUAAGAUAUUACAUUUUUAACAUAAUCCAAAUAAUAUAGUUAGAACAUUGUUUUUGCAUCUACAAGUUUUUAUUUUAAACUAUUUUGAAUUACAGAAGAAUUCCCUUCAGUUUUUCGAUCACCAUACCAUACCAGAAUUAAACCGUAAACAUGAUUUAAAUCUACUUGAUAGUGUUUUAGAAUUAAAUUACUUCUAUAAUUAUUGAAAACUUUUCUAAUAAAUUUGGUAUAAAUUUCAAUAGUGACUUGCCCAAAAAAAAAAAAAAUCAAUAGUGACUGAAUUUGAACUUCGCCGAAUAAAAAUACAUAUUAUUGGAUUUAUAAGUAACAAUUGGUUUUAGAGAAAUUAAAUUUAGUAUGUUUUUGAUUAAAUAUUUAGUAUAUUUUCAAUUUAAUUGGUAAUAUCUCAUCCGUAUAUAAAUGAUUGAUGUUUUAGAUAGUGUUUUUGUACUUAAAAUUGAUGUUUAAAAAUACUUUUAAUUCAUUUAUUUAAAAUAUAACGGUGUAGCUGUACAGCUAUCAAAAAUAAUAAAUAGAAAAUUUAUUUAACAUUUUAACAUGUGUAAAAAGUGUAAAACAUCAAUAUAUAUGGAAAAUAUGUUUAAAGUUCAAAAUAAUAUGUGUUUAGUUAAGUUGAAAAUAUCAACCAAAUUUUAAAAUAGAAAGAGUAUUAUCACAUGUGGUGAUGAUGGGUGGAGUUUUAGUUGGUAAAAUUAAAUAUAUCAAAUAAUUUCAAGUCUUACAUGGCCUCUUACAUUAUUGUAAUUAGAAAAAGAGUAGGUACAUAGUAGCAAUAAACAAACGAAAGAGAUUGACUAUUAAUAUUAAUACUGCCGCAUAGGGUUAAACUAUCGGACAAACAAAAAGAAAAAGAGUUAUAAAGUGAAGGUGUGGGCUGGAGGUUUCAUUAUAAUAAGGUUUUCUUAGGUCUUUGGAAAUUGCAAGUCCCAAGGCCAACUAAUAAUGACCUCGAUCUCUGCGCUAACCGGACCGUCCAUCUACUCUUUCUUUAUUUAUUUUAUUUAAAAAUCUUCUAUUGUGUAGUGCUCCUGUUAAUACGUUUACACUUGUUCAUGAUCACGAAAGGAAGUUGAUCAAGAAAAAAAAAGAUCACCAAAGGAUUUGUGUUAGGAAUAUACAAAAAGUUUGCGCAAAUAAUCAUUUACCUAGCUAAUAAAUACACCAACAAAUAGUUUUUUUUUUAAAAGGAACAACUAAAUUUUAAGGUUUCAAUUGGUGACCAUGUUAAAAAGAAAAAAAUUAUGUUGACACCGACAAAAACAUUUAAUGGAAUAAACAUUUAAUGAAAAAAUUAUGUUGACACCAACUAAAGUUUUGCAUACCGAUCUUAAGAAUAAAAAAACAGUUAAAAUCUAAUUUGACACCAACAAAAACAUUAUUCAAAAUUUCAUUUAUACUAAAAAAAUUAUCAAAAAAACAUAAACGAUUAUAGUGCAAUUUUAAAUUGAUUUAAACGAUCUUAGCUACACAUUUUUUUGUGAGCUGCACCCUAAUAUUUGUAGUUAUGAUAGAAAUAUUAUGUUGAUAGAGAAACUUUGAAAGUUGUUGUCUUAUAAUGUAAAAAUCGAAACAAAGUAAAGUUUAGUUGAUCCAUCAAAUAUAUAUAAAUCCUCUUUAUUCAACUAUAAUCGUUUUUACUGUUGCAGUUUUCAAAUCUGAUAUUGCCAUUGUUUCUGGUUGACGUUAACAUAAUAGAAAAAGUAUAAUUUAACUUAAAUCAUCUUAAGUUACCACUGUUAGCAGUUAUAACAUAAUUAACUAGAUUUUGACCCGUGCAACCGCACGGGUGUUUGUUUUCACUUUUCUAUACAUAAAUUAUUGUUUUAGAACAUAAGUAGUAUAUAUUUUUAAUGUUAAUCAUAUACUUAAAUAUUUAUAUAACUAUUUCAAAUACAAUAAUUUUAUAAUUUACAUGUUAUAAUUAAUUAAUUAUUUAAACCUUAUGUAUUUGCCACUUCUUAUUAUAUAUUUAUCUUAUUGUAUUUGCAUUUAGUUAUUAAGCAAAUUAAUAUAUUCAUAAGAAAAUAUAUUUAAAAAAUAUUUUGUAUUUAAUUUAUGCUAAAUUCUGACCCGUAUUUCAAAUCUGAAUUUCUUUUUACCAAUAUUUUUAUGCUUAUUCAUUUUAGAUAAUUUAUUAUUGUAUAUAUAAAAGUGUAAGAUAUGUUAAUUUUUAUACAUGUAUUAUAUAGUUUGUUAAUUUUAAGCCGUUCUAUCAUCAUAUUAUAUUUUAAAUAAAUAGUUUAUAUUUAUGAAAAUAAAAUUUAUAAAUUUAUCAAUUGAAUAUAAUUUUAUCAUAUUUAUUUUAGUAUAAUAAUUAUAUUUUAACAACAGAUUUGUUAGAAUUUUAAAGUAAAUAUAUUUAUAUUUAAAAUGAAAAGAUAUCAAAAGAUACUAUGAUUAAAAUAUUUUAAAAAUUAUAUUUAUUAUUAGUCUAAAUUAAAAUAUAGUAUGAAUUUCUAUGAAUAGGUCCAUUAGGUCCAUUUUUUUAAAAAUUACACAUGAAUCAAGGUUGUGACUUCUGUUUUAAUAUAUAAGAUAUUCUAAUAUGCUCAUGACUCAUGUUAUCAAUUUGCACACUGUUGCGUGUGCUUUGAUCUUUGACUUCAUCGCAAGCUAUGGAAUAGUAGUAGUAUAAAUGCACCGAAGGAAAUCGUUAUCACUUCAUUGGUAUCAUACGAAGGAGCUUUGGAAUAUGCAAAAAAUAAUUGGUAGGCUCAAAUUAUUAUAGGUCCAUUAUUAUAUUUGUAUGACAGUAGAAUGAUCUUUUUUUCUUACAAACUAAAGCGUAUAGUGGUCUUCAAAAAGAGUGCUUGCAAGUCCUUCACAAAAUGCUAAGAUUUUUUUUACAUUGUAUUUUGAUUGUGAAAUACCGAUUCUGGAGAUUGAAUAUCUUGUUACUAUAAAUGAACACUUCAUACACCUCAACAUCUAAAUUAUCAAUCCGUUUAGCGAUACCUAAAACUUACAUAUGUUUUAUCAGCAAAACCAUAGAAUAAAACAUAAGUCAUUCACAAUCAUAAAUAUAUGAGCUUACAUAUACUAAAAAAAUCCGAUGGAAAUCGAAAUAAGUUAAUAUAUUAACUGGUAAACAUGUUUUAGAUUUUCUCCAGUCUUCGUUGGAUACGACUUCAUAUGAGCCACGCAAAGCUAUAGAAGCUCCCCCUCAGACCGAUACAUCGUCUGGCCAAUGCAGUUUCUCCAAAUCCAUAUUGGAGAACUUAAAAAAAAAACAGCCUAAAAACAAACAUAAUUGUACAAAAUAAUUGUUAACUUAAAAAGGCCUCUAUCUACCACGAAGAUCUCAUAGAUUAUUUGACUAACAAAGAUUGUAAGAAUCAUUUUCAUUUGAAUAAAGGGUCUCAAGUUGCCUAAAAAAAGUUGCCUAAGCUGACAUAAUGUAACAAUUUGAUUAUCUAAUUAAUCUAUUCCAAGCAGUAGUAAAUAAGAUCUAAUUAACAAUAUGUCUAAUAUUGAAGUAUUUUUUCUUAUCGACAUAUAGUAGUAAAUAAUUGCUAUGAAUAUUUUAGCAGUACGGUUUACAACUAGACUUGAGCUGCAAAAUUAUUCUUUAGCGAAAGCAAGCGGUCAAAAGACACGAAAUUAACUUUAUUUAAUUUUUAAUAAUCUGCAACAAACCGUGCAUGAAAAUAAAACUCAUUUGUUUAAGAAUUACGUAUGAUUCGGUACAAAAUCCAAAACACUGAACAUGAAACCAAUAAUGGUUAUGAUUAUUCACAAGCAUUAUACCACAACACUGGACAAAAGAGAGAUUUAACAUUUUUUUUUAUAAUGGUUAUUCUAUUUCCCAAACUUGAAGUACGUCUGGUUAAUCAAGCAGAACAUAACAACAAAUAAAAUAAAAAUUUUUAUGAAAAAAAUUAACAGUCUUAACUAGAAAGUUUAAAAUCUGAUUUUGCGCUCAUAGAAUACAUGUGAUCUUGAAGUCCAAGAAACAUAGAAUCUCAAUCCUUUCUAAUUAUGUUAUAAAACUCGACCAUGUAUGAAGCUCCUUGAUCAUAUUCAUAUCAAUCAGCUCCUUACAAUCUGUCCUAAAGCUCUGACAUGCUAAAUGUUAAAGCAUAUUCUCUAUUGUCCAUCGUCCAUUACAGUGUUUCUACUUCUGAAUACAAAGAUAAUUCACGCCGAACGUGGUUUCGUGCUCCUAGUUCAUUCAUAUCCAUCUACAUCUAGUAAACUAAGAUGUGGGUGUCUAUAACCCAUCUAACAUUAAGGUUUUGAAUGUUACGAACCGCUCCGUCCCGCACCGCAGUUAACAUAAACAAAAAUCUUUAUAUAUACCAUAUAUCUAUACGUUUUUAUAACUAUUAAAACUGCACUACAGUUAAACCGCUUGUUCCGUACUGUUUAAACCGCAGUUACCAUUCGGAGUCUAAAACUUGAGAUUUUACGCUAUAUAAUAUAAUAUAUUGUUAUAUACGCUGAAAAACAUUUUAAUAUGAAAACUUGAACUUAUUCAACAUUGAAACUGCACAUGUCUGACACAAAAAUAAGUAUGUCAAACAUUAAGCUCAUAAUAAUAGUAAGACUAUAGGGCCAUCCGGCCAUAUAUGUUUAUUAGUAAGAGAUCUCUUAUAAACUCUAUAGAUUAUAAUACAGUUUAUAAUUUUUGAAACUAAUAAAUAAAAUAAUAUAAUAUUUUUAACUUUCUUUUUCUUCUGAUUUCUAUUUUGUUUUAAACAGUUUUUUUUAAAUACAAUAAAAUUUACUAUAGAAGAAAAUGAAAUAAUAAUAAUUUAUCUCAGUAAAUGUCAAUAUAAUGUGAUAUACGAAAGAUAGAAAAGAUAAUUUUAUAAAGUAGGCUUAGGCUAGAUGAGUUUAGGAAAUGUUUUUACCAGUCAAACCUAAGUUUAUUAAUUAUGAAAACAAGAAAAGAAAUCAUGAAAGCCUGUUUUCGAGGAUUUUAAAGAUAAAAAAAAUCCCCAAAAUGAAAGUUGUCACUGUCAGCCGAUUGCUCUAAUUGGAAUAGUUACGUGUUAAACCAUAUUUAUUUUUAAUUGUAAUCAAUCAAUUUUAAAAUUACCAAGCCAGCCUUUCACAAAAAGGAAAAUAAAUAAAACUCUACAAAGUUAUAAUGCUUGGAUACUUAUUACUUUGGCGAUGGCGGUGUUCAUGUAUAAUGAUCAAAAAGCUCUUAUUUUUAUGCAAGCGUGGGUCUAAGCUAAAUCUCUUUCCAUGAUUGAUGUUUUAGAUAGUGUUUUUGUACUUAAAAUUGAUGUUUCUCUCUCUCUCUCCCUCUCCCUCUCCCUCUCCCUCUCUCUCUCUCUGCAGCUCAAGGACCCACUGUAAAGCUUCUGGUGAGAAAUUGAGCAAAAAGUUUGAAGCUUUAUACUGAUUCUGUAAAUGGGUAUCUUUCUCCUGACUCUUUUAACUUCAUUACUUCCUUUAAAUCUGGUCUAGGGUUUGUCAAAGCUCUGUUUUUCUUUGGGGGUUCGUACGGAAAAAAGCAUGAUCCUUUCUGUUCCGUUGACUGGUCUCUCCUGAGAUUCCUUAAGUUCGGUCGUGUCUUUUAGUUUCUCAGUACUUGGUUUGUUUUGUACUAUCAAGUCCGAGACUUUUGCUUCUAUUGAUUGAGCUUUGCUCUUAUUCUUACAAGGUGGAGUGUGCCUUCUCUGCAUCUCUAAAGACCAAAGUGGUUGUGUUUGUGUGGGAAGUGUUAUUGGUCUGUAGUGUUAUCAGAAGAGAUGGAUGUAAAUGAGAAAGAAGAGUUUUCAGGAGAGAAGAGGAACACUGGUUACGAUUCAGCUGAUAAUCAUCCAUCAGAUUGGCGAAUCUCUGGUUCUAAUCCGGUUUCUGCGCCGCCCUUUGGCUCAUACUCUACAGAGAAUCUGAUCACAGCGUCUUGUUCUCCAUCUCAGAUGAUGGACUCGUUAGGGAAAACUCUUUGGUAUGAUCCCACAAAUGUUCAAGCUGUGGGUUAUGGCGGUUUCAGUGGUGGUCACCCUUCAUCUUCUUCGUCUUCUUGCCUUAGGGGUAAUAUGGAUAGAUCUCUUGAAAUGGGUUGGAGUAUGCCUAAUCUGUUGCCUCCUAAAGGCAAUGGUCUUUUCUUGCCGAAUGCGAGUAGCUUCCUUCCUCCUAGCAUGGCUCAGUUCCCGGCUGAUUCAGGGUUUAUAGAGCGUGCAGCGAGGUUUUCGCUCUUUAGUGAUAUGGUGAACCAACCACUUGGGAAUCCGGAGUCUGUUGGUUUGUUUCUUCAAGGGCAGUGUCCAAGUAGUGAAGUAAAUGUUGGUGUAGCUACUACAGCAAUGAAAGACCCUAAUGUUAGAUCUAGUGAACAAGCUAGUAAACCAAAUGUGUCGGAGGAUACUCAGUCUAGUGGUCAGAAAGGUGGGGAAACCUCUUCCAAAGACUCAAAGAAGAGGAAAAGAAAUAGACAGGUGAAGAUUUGAAGUUGUAUUAUACUUUUGAUUCUCUUAGUUUUCUUUUAACAUUUUGGUAAUGUUUCUGUUUUGUAGAAUUCUGAAGCAGAACAGUCACAGAAAUCUGGGGAAGAAGCAGAGAACAAUGGUGAUAAGAAGGGGAGUGAUGAGCAAAGUCCAAACUCGCCUGGCAACAAAACUAACAGUGGGAAACAACAGGGCAAACAAACGUCUGAUCCCAAAGAUGGGUACAUUCAUGUGGGAGCGCGUAGAGGCCAAGCUACAAAUAGCCAUAGUCUUGCGGAAAGAGUACAGUUUCUUAAACCAUCUUGGGAGUUGAAAAUGAAAGCAGUUUCUUACUGGUGUUGUGAUCUAAUUACUUGUUUGGAUUGUAGGUGAGGAGAGAAAAAAUCAGUGAAAGGAUGAAGUUUCUUCAAGAUCUUGUACCUGGUUGCAACAAGGUAUGGAGUCUUUUCAUAUAUGCUGAUGAACAUUGAUGUGUAAGAAGAAGAGAAACAAAAGCUAAUGCAGAGAGAUGUGUGUUUACAGGUGACUGGAAAGGCAGUUAUGCUUGACGAAAUUAUAAACUAUGUGCAGUCUCUACAACGCCAAGUUGAGGUACUAAGUUUUUCCUUAUUUUCAACUAUUUAUGUUCUCUUAUGUGUGUUGCUUGUUGUAAUCCAUUUUGCUUCUCUUUUUGUGUUUAAACAGUUUUUAUCGAUGAAGCUUGCAACUGUGAACCCACAAAUGGACUUUAACCUUGAAAGUCUUCUUGCAAAAGAUGUAAGAGAGCUUCAGCUACGAGGUGGUUCUUCAUCUGCAACACCGUUUCCGCAAAACAUGCCGAUGGUUUAUCCUCCUCUACCACAUGGAUUCAUGCAACAGACCCUUUCAAGCAUUGGAAGGAACAUUACCUCUCCGUUGUCUCCCAUGAAUGGUGGAUACAAGCGACAGGUAUUGUAAUAACUGGUCUGUAAUGUGGAGAAUGAACUAAUCCGAGAUCAUAAUCUGAUUGUGUUUUGCUGAUUCAUAUUUCUAAAUAGGAAACAAAUGGAUGGGAAGGUGAUUUGCAAAAUGUGAUACACAUUAACUAUGGAGCUGGUGAUGUCCCAUCUGACCCUGAAGCAGCAGCAACAGCUACUGGUGAAAAACUGAAACCUCUUUUUAACUUCUUCACCUCAGAAUAUAAUAUUUGUUUUACUAAAACUGUAUUUUUUUUAUUGCAGCAUCUCUUCCAUCUUCAAACAUGAAGGUUGAGCCAUGAGAUUUUCUUCUUGUUAGAUAGAGUAUUAAAUUCUUGUAAUCUUUUUUUUCUUAAUUACUUUGUUUUCUGUAUUAUAAUGAUGUUACUAUUAACGAAUACGAACCUACUAGUACUACUACGCAGUUAAGAGUAAAAACACCAACGAUUCAAGACAGUUCUAUAUAAGUUAUCUAACCUUUUUUUUUUUUGAGUAUUUGUAUUGUAGUCCUUGGAGAAAUGCCUGAAAAUGUACACAUUUCUCAAACUUUCGAAAUAAAUUUGUUGAGGAUGUGAGAAAAAAAUAGAUUAACGUUAUCAUUUGUAUUUCAGAUGAAUAGUGUAAUGAUGCGGUAGCUACAUAAGUUAUAUUUCAAAAAUAUUUGAAAUACACAAGAUUUCUGUGAACCAUCACAAAACAUUGCGAUCAUUCACCACUUCUACGAGUUCUGGAAUGGCAAAAGAUUGUAAGUACCUAGAAAGUUGAAACAUCAGACUUUCCAUACAGUUAUGGAAAUACUCUGGCAUGACUUGAAAGCGGAGUGACAAACAUAUGGAAAAGCAAAACUUUUGGGACUCCACCACUGUGUAAAAAGAGGUCUCAGUCGUUUGAAAAAAAUGAAUCAGCUAAUCGGAAUAUGUUGAUAAACGGUUCAGAAAAACGGAUCAUGAUAAUACUUCAAAUCAAGCAGCUUAUCAUCGAUCAUGUACUUGUGCCUAAACUUUUCGCAAAUUGAAUUAGCUGUCCCAAGAAUACCAUUGACGGAUGCAAGGGGUGCACCUGAAAUAGAAUCUAAAGAUUUGAAUCUCAAGAUAUGUCUGCACAUCAAAAGAAAACCAGAAACUAUAUGAUUAGUAAAAAAAUUCAAAUUAAGCGUUUUAAAGAUAAGUUUCAAAUCAAGCAAAAAAAGAAGAAGAUAAGUUUCAAAUCAUGAACUUUUUUCACCAAAAAAAAAAUCAGAUGGCAUUCCUAAUUAAGCAUACUCAUGAUCGGCAUAAUACACUAAGAGGUACAUCAAGAAAGCACAUCAAAAGUAAGGUGUAUCCAGUUCUAUGAAGAGUUUGGCUCGUGCAGAUUCAACUUAAGAUUCUGUGCAGAAUCAUAUGUGGAAAAUCGUUUGAAGAUUCGAGAACAAAUCUUUCUUGGACGGCGAGACCUGAUGCAGUAAGAUAUUUGGAUAGUAUCCAAAUAUCUUUAUUAUAAAUAAGCAUUGUAUUCAUUUUUUAUUUGAUUAAUAAAGAUUUUUGGCUUUUGAGAAAAUAAUAUUAUAUAUUUCUUAUAUUAAUUUGAUUAGAUUCAUCAAUCAAGAAACUUUUCCCAAGCGAGGAUUCUCUAGAAUCUCUUGGUUGAGCUGGCAGGUCAUAAGCAUGGUUCCAUAACCCCUUGGUCGAGCUGUUUAUCGUAGCUUCCACUCCAUCACAAACAUAUGGAGCAGCACAAAUUUUGGGACUCAAUCAAAGAUUUUGAGGUUCACACUGUGUAAGAAGAGAUCCCAGUCGUUUGAAAAAAUGAAUCAGUAAAUCGGAACAUGUUGAUAAGCGGUUCAGAAAAUGUAUCACAACAAUACUUCAAAUCAAGCAGUUGAUCAUCGGUAAUGUACUUGUGCCCAAAAAUUUUGCAAAUCGAAUUAGCUGUCCAAAGAAUACCAUUGACGGAUGCAUAAUCGUGUGCUGAAGCGGCUACCUAAAGUUGGGAGAUAAGACUAGGAAGAAAGGUAGGCCAAGAUUUUAGGUAAUCUUUCUGACCAAUGAAAAUCAUGGCUUCACUCAACUGGCUCUAGAUGGGAUAGAGAAGAAGACUCCAUAAGGGAGACUAUGCAAGUCUUGAUUUGCUCUUUCUCCGAAUCUGUGACCGGUGAGAUACCGUCAGGGAGACACUGUGAACGGAGAUGGUUCUUGAAGGCAACAAAAGCAACGUGACGGGUCUGAUCAUCUGAGGAGUCAACCACCAGCCGGAGAACGGUUAGGCCGUAGUCAGGUAAACCGGCAGCAUCCAAUAGCAAUGCCUCAGCUGCUCGACAAAGCUCUGAGUCUGGAGAGAGCGUGUCGAGAAGACAUUGCAAGAGGCACUGGAGAUUCGUCUCCAUCUUUCUUGAUUUUUUUAUGAAUCAGAAAAAGAGGGAAACAACUGAAUUUUGUUUUGCAAAUCAAAUUUAUGUUUGGUGUUUAAAUGUAUUCAUAAUCGACUAAUAAAUGAACCUAAUAUGUUUUAAAAAUUCAAUGUUAUUAAAUGAUUGAUAUAUUAUAUAUUUAAAAUUUUGGUGUUAUUCAAUUUUAAUUAUAAAAUAUUUCACUAAAAUGCAUCAAUAUAUAAGCCUAAAUGAUUUUGAAAAUAUUUAUAUGUGGAGUUAUUAGAAAUCAAGUCCAACAUAUAUAAUUAUAAUUCUAAUUCCAAAAAAAAAAUCUAAUUGAAUAACACUAAAUUAAGAUCAAGGUAGCCUUCUGAAAUAGAUUUCCACUGUUUGAAGAACCUGGUGGAUGACUUCUUAUAGAUGCUAGUUGCUACCUACCUGUACACGUACACAACAAGAAACUUGUAAUCAGCAACAAGUCACAUAAUCUUUUUUUCUGCCCAAAACCAAUACUGAUUACAAGAAGCCCUUAGUCACAAUCCCUCUUAAAUUACACAUGCAAACAAGGUUAUUCCCUCUGAUCAGAUCUUUAGAGUAAUUGAUCAUAAAUUUGGAAUCAGGCUUUCACCUUUCGUGCAUAUAAGCCUACCAUACUAGAGGAUCGACUAUGAUUUACACUUUGGUUCCAAGACCAUUCUGCAUCUUGACCUUUUUAUGAUCAACCAAACUAGUUAUUGUCCUCUUCCAUUCUUUUAAUUCCCGCAGAGAGCUCUUUGGGGCAUUUUUCAGAUUGGUUAUUCGGUUUUUGUAAGGUUUAAGUUUUUUCGCAAACGUAAAAUAAUUUUGAAAACCGUUGAACAAAAAAAUAAAACCAAAGUUCACUGAUAAACUUAUAGUUAAUCCUCAUGGAUUUGGAUACACUCAUCUUGAAGAUAUAGAAUGUUUGUAUACGAGUACAAAGCAACUAACAGGACAAACUUUACAACAUUCAUCAUUAAAUCAGUUAAAAUAAAGAGUGAAGCAUAGUUUCUUGAAAAGCAAGAAAAGUAUGUAUCUUAGGCUUGGUAGGACAAAAUAUCCAAUAGUUUGGAGAUGUUCAAAAUACCAAACCAAUGACAUGACAUAAAUAUCAUAAUAAGUAGGAAAGAGGUCAAUCGAUGAAGAACAUACUUUAAGUGAUCAGUGAUCCAAGUACUUACAGGAACAAGUAGAAGCUCAUUUUUUUCUUUCUCACGGUGAGCCUUGGAGCUUCUUCCAUGUUGAAAUCUUCGACCACCAUGCCUUCUGAUAACUCUCAAUCAAAAUUAUACAAGAUAUUUGCAAGAACACACUCCACCAUUGUUGUUCCCACAUGUAUAUUGCAGGACAGAUUAUCUAGCCACGUCCAACGGUAGCAACUCAAAGUCCUGUCCUUUUGUAUCAAUGUUACAACAAGUUACUUUCUCUUAUAGUGAAGUGCUUGAUUGGCUUGUAAUGGUGGAAGAAGUGCACGAGUUCAAGCGUGUUCCAUUGGACCAAAGUGUAAAUCUGAUUACAAUGUGGUUUUGGUUGCAUGUACCUGCUGCUGCUUGUUGCCCUUUAAUCUAUGUGGACCGACUUCCUCUGUAUACUUAUUCCAGAUCAUUGGCACGAUCAGUUCAAGGCUGCUCAAUUGUGACAUGUCUCCAUACUGACCAUUCAGUAUUUAGAUCAUCUUUUAUCCUGUGGCUUGGUGACACUACCGAGAAACAACUAGAGUUUAGGAAACGUGACCUAAACUUUGAAUUCUUGGAUCCGUAAAACCUAAAGUUCAAUGUUAAUCCUGAUUUUGGACUCGUAAAGUUCAAAAGUACACAAAAAGCUAUAACUAAGGCCAGCGUUCACAACGAGUUGCCCCAGAUUCUGCAAUAUAAUCUGAGUUUCCUGGAUCAGUCUUCAUGGUCAGCUCUGCAGAACAAUGGGUGCACCUGAAGUAGAAUCUGAUGAUUUGAAUCCCAAGAUAUGUCUGCACGUUGAAAAAAAAAACCAGAAACUAUUUGAUUAGUAAAAAGAAUUCAAAGUGUUUUCAAGAUAAGUUUCAAAUCAUGAACUUCUUCCACCAACUAGAAAAUCAGAUGACAUUCCUAAGCAUACGCAUGAUCGGCACUAUACACUGAGGUACAGCAAGAAAGCAAUCAAAUCAAAAGUAAAGUGUAAUUCAGUUACCUCGCCGAUGACGUCUUCUAUACGCGAAUUGAAUCUGGUUCCCUUGUAGAUAUUGUUUCCGCAGGUAUUGCAUUGGACACUCAUGGGAAGCAUCAGGCUAACGUUUCGGUCUCCCAUGUCGUCUCUUUCUCUUAGUUUCUUCUUUUAAACAAAAUCGCAGAGGAAAAAAAGAGAGGAAAAUUCUUGUUCUGAUUUUAUUCUUUCGUUUCUUCGAAGGCUUAUAUCUUUCUCCGUACUUAUAGAACUCUCUUAAGUUGAACCAUAUAAAUUUUCCAAAAAAGGCAUCGUAUCUGUCACAAAAAAAGGAAACUACAUCUAUACUAUAAUAAAAGGGGAAUAUAAGCCAUGGAGAGGAUGUCCACAUAGGAUAGAAAAAUCAACCAAUCAGAGAACCCGAAAUUGCCAUGUCAUCUCAUUUACUUUUCGUAAAAAAUAAAAAAAACAAUGCGAAGGUGAGAAUCGAACCCGGGUUAGUAUGAUAUAUAUAGGACAGUUACCACUAAGCCAUUGAAACAUUCUUGGACACAUAUACAAGAACCACUAAGUAUAUAAUCACAAACUCUUAUGUACAUUUACAAUAAUAUAAAUUCAACUUUCAAGACUCCGAUACUUUGUUUUGUAAAAAAAAAUAAGUAAGUGACUAAGCUAAUAUAUUCUUAGAAAGUGUGAGAACGUUGACAAAUAUGAAAAAGCAUAGAUUUUUUUUUUCGUGACAAAGUUAAGAAUUUUGUAAAAGUAAGUUUAACAUAUAAAUUUUCGUGACAAAUAUGAAAAAGCAUAGAUUUUUGUAAAAUUUUGACAAAACAACUCAAAACAUACUUCUCUAAUGUCUUAAUAAAAUAUUAUUUAAGGGUGCAAUAAUUAAAUAUAUUAAUUCAAUAAAUUUUGUAAUUUAUAGACAAAACAAUAACACAACAAAUUUUGAAACAUUUGUUUAACCUAUCGAUUUUUUUCAUGAGAAUCCAACUAAACAAGAUAAAAAAANNNNNNNNNNNNNNNNNNNNNNNNNNNNNNNNNNNNNNNNNNNNNNNNNNNNNNNNNNNNNNNNNNNNNNNNNNNNNNNNNNNNNNNNNNNNNNNNNNNNNNNNNNNNNNNNNNNNNNNNNNNNNNNNNNNNNNNNNNNNNNNNNNNNNNNNNNNNNNNNNNNNNNNNNNNNNNNNNNNNNNNNNNNNNNNNNNNNNNNNNNNNNNNNNNNNNNNNNNNNNNNNNNNNNNNNNNNNNNNNNNNNNNNNNNNNNNNNNNNNNNNNNNNNNNNNNUUUGUUUAAAAAGUAAAUAAUUUUAUUUUUCUUAUAUUAUAUAAUCAAUAUAUAUUAUUUACUGAUAAUAAAAAUAUAGUUAUUCUUCUAUCACAAAUAUCUAUGCAAAUAUGUGAAUUAAGUACAACAAUCAAACAACAUAAUGAUUUUCAUAAAGAAAAUUUAAAAAGUAUAUUUAUGUUAUGUAGUCAUAUUUUAUAUUCUUUAAAUAAUGUAAUACAAUAUUAUACAUUAUUUUUUUAGAAUUGAGAAAUACAUAUAUCAGUUAGACAAAUUAAUCGAUAAUUAGACAAAAUUUUGAUUUUUAUUUUGUGAGUAAAAAGUUUAUUAUUAAUUAGCAUUACUUAUUUCAAGAUGUUUAAGAAAUGAUGGACAAAAAAAUAGGAUGGACAUAAAUGAUAUAUGAACUAUAAAUAGUUUUUUGUAAAGCUGACUUAGAUAACACAUAUGCACAUCCAUUUCCAGUCUUUUUUGAUGCAUAAAUUCAAUUUCUUCAGAGCAGUUAUUCCACAAAGAGAUCGUAUGAGAUAUUGUUUUGAUAUUCAGAUUUGUUUCUUAAUUGUUAAGAAGAUUGAUAAGUGUAAAAAUGUUUCAUUCGAAUAUGAUAUGUCUAUAACCGAGUCCCCAACAUGAGACAAGUUUGUUAAAAAGUAAAUAAUUUCAUUUUUCUUAUAUUAUAUAAUAAAUAUAUAUUAUUUACUGAUAAUAAAAAUAUAGUUAUUCAUCUAUCACAAAUAUCUAUGCAAAUAUGUGAAUUAAGUACAACAAUCAAACAACAUAAUGAUUUUCACAAAGAAAAAAUAAAAAAUAUAUUUAUGUUAUGUAGUCUUAUUUUAUAUUCUUUAAAUAAUAUAAUACAAUAUUAUACAUUAUUUUUUAGAAUUGUGAAAUACAUAUAAUAUCUUAUCCGCGCGUAGCGCGGUUAAAAAAUCUAGUUAAUGUAAAAGAGUUUAGGAAAAGGAUAUCAUGCCUUCUUAACAAAGGAAAAGGAAAAACAACUUGAAAAUAUAACAGGAAAUUGUCUUAGUUCUAAGCUAUUGCUUUGAAUUAUAUAAAAACAAAUAUUUUAAACGGAUUUAAAUUAGUAUGUUCAAUUUUCUUAUUGAUGACUUUUAUUUUUGCUUGAUAAUAUUUUUCAAAUUAAAAAUUGGAAACAUAUAUAUAUGUAAUACAAUAAUAUGUAUUUGAUAUAUUUUAUUUGUUUCAUAAUAAGUGUCAUUCUAAUUUUUUUCUUGUUACACAAAAAUGUCACUUUACAAUUUCAAUGCAAAUUAUACUUACUUUCGGCUAAAAAUUAAUUACAAACUGCAUUGGUUUUAUAAAUAAUUUUAUUUAUUUCAAAUACUAUUGAUCCGAAAAAUGUAAUUAAUAACAACUUACAUAUAUUUCUACUACUUUUUUAGUCUAUGUGAAAAAUGUCAAAGUAACACUUAUUCAGAAACGAAUGGAGUAUAUAAUAGUAUUUCCUGCUAGAAAAUAUAAUAAUUCAUAUUUUAAUAACUAUAUAUAAAAUUAUAGUUAAUUAAAUUAAAUUAGAUAUAUAUAAUAAUAAUAACAAAAGAAACCAAUGUAGAUCAUUUUACUUAUUUACUAAUCACUUUUGCUUAUCUGUUGUUUAUCAAUAUUUAAAAAAUAUAAUAUUAUAUAUUUUGUCUUUUGCUUAUCUGUUGUUUAUCAAUAUUUAAAAAUAUAAUAUUAUAUAGUAUUUUGUAACACAAAGCUAUGUAUCUGAUUAUAAUAAAAAAAAGAACACACAUUUAUCAUUUUAUAACAUUUAGACCCUAAACCGAGCUAGCUCCAAAAACCCUCCUUUGAGUCCACUGGGAGACAAAGAGACGAAGACGAGACCUUGAUCUCUGAAUGUUGAGAAAAACUCUAACUUUACUCCCACCACGAAGAAGACCCUUCUCUUCUUCUUCUUCGCCUAAACCCCUAACCCAACUCCAAAGAUCCUCCUUUCAAUCCUCUCUCCGCAAUUCCCUAACCUCCCACGACUCCGAUCAAGCAUGGAAGCUCUUCCGCUCCUUCGCCGCCGCUUCUUCCCUCCCGGACAAGCCUCUCCUCAACUCCCUCAUCACCCACUUAUCCUCCUCCCUCCACGCCGGCGGCGACACGCUUCUCAGGCACAGGCUCAAGCGCGCCUUCGUCUCCGCCGCUUACGUCAUCGAGAAAGAUCCCACCUUUCUCGAGUUCGACACUCUCCUCACGCUUCUCCAGUCCAUGAAACUCGCCAAAGCUGCAUCCCCCGCGUUGGCUUUGGUGGAGUGUAUGUUCAAAAACAGGUUCUUUGUUCCGUUUGAUCUCUGGGGAGGUUUGGUUAUCGAUAUCUGCCGCGAAAAUGGAAGUUUGACUUCGUUUCUUAAAGUGUUUAAGGAGAGCUGUAGAGUUGCGAUCGAUGAGAAGCUUGGUUACAUGAAACCUGGUUUGGAAGCGUGUAACGCGGCUCUUGAAGCGUGUUGUUUGCAGAUGGAGUCUCUAACCGAUGCUGAGAGUGUGAUUGAGUUGAUGGCUGUGAUGGGUGUGAAGCCUGACGAGUCCACCUUUGGGUUUCUUGCUUACUUGUAUGCAAGAAAAGGGCUUAAGGAGAAGAUAAAGGAGCUUGAGAGUUUGAUGGAUGGUGGUAGUAAGAGAGUUCUUUACUCAAAUUUGAUCAGUGGAUAUGUGAAAAUUGCUGAUUUAGAUAGUGUUUCUGAUGUUGUACUACAAAGUCUUAAACGAGAUUGUAGUUUCGGUGAGGAAACGUAUUGUGAAAUUGUGAAAGGGUUUAUAGAGAGUAAAAGGGUAAAGAAUUUAGCAAAACUGAUAAUUGAAGCUCACAAGUUGGAGUCUCUGUCUACUGAAUCUGAAAAGUCAGUUGGUUUUGGUAUUGUAAACGCUUGUAUUGAUCUUGGGUUCUCUGGUAAAAGUAUACUCGAUGAGAUGGAUGCUCAGGGAGGAUCUGGCGGGAUUGGUGUGUAUGUACCAAUCUUAAAAGCCUAUUGCAAAGAGAACAGAACAGCUGAAGCUACUCGGCUGGUUAAAGAGAUCAGCAGCUCUGGAGUUCAGCUAGAUGUUGAGACUUAUAAAGCUUUGAUCGAAGCUUCCAUGACCAAACAGGAUUUUGUAUCUGCGCUGACAUUGUUUAGGGACAUGAGAGAGACAAGAGUGGUGGAUUUGAAAGGGAGCUACUUAACAAUCAUGACAGGUCUCCUUGAGAAUCAGAGACCAGAGUUAAUGGCAGCGUUCGUGGAGGAAGUUUUGGAUGAUCCUCGAGUAGAAGUGAAGUCACAUGAUUGGAACUCGAUUAUUCACGCCUUCUGUAAAUCCAAACGCCUAGAAGACGCAAAGAGGACUUUCAGAAGGAUGGUGUUCCUUCAGUAUGAGCCGAACCACCAGACGUACUUGUCGUUGAUCAAUGGAUAUGUGAGCUGCGAGAGGUACUUUGAGGUUGUGGUGUUGUGGAAAGAGUUCAAAGAGGGGAAAACAAAACUGGACCAUGCUCUUGCGGAUGCGUUCUUGAAUGCGUUGGUCAGAGGAGGGUUCUUUGGCACGGCGAUGCAAGUGGUGGAGAAGUGUAAGGAGAUGAAGAUAUUCGUGGAUAAGUGGAGGUACAAGGCAGCGUUCAUGGAGACUCUGAAGAAGCUUAGAUUGCCAAAGUUGAGGAAGAGGAAGAUGAAGAAGGUUGAGUUUCUUGAUGCCUUUAGGAACUGGGUUGGUAUUACCACAUGAAUAAUUCUCUCAAAGACCUUAAACUUGUCUGUUGAUGUCUCUUGGACAUACAUAAAUCUCAAAGUAAACUGUAGUAUCUUUGGUUAAAGAAGUCUGAAAUUCAAAACACUAAAUUGAAUCUUUGUCAAAUUGUUUUACUUUGCACCUUCUAUAUACUUUUAUACCAAAUAACACUUAAGAUUUCAAACUAAAUCACUCUUACUGUGCUUCAUGAUUAUUAAGCUUGGGAAAGACACCUGAAAACUCUCCAACAAGUAUCAAUAAACAGAUCAAACCAUCCAUCAAGUUUAGUAGGGAAUAGCCUGAUUAAAUAAAGGAAAAUAGUCGAUAGAUUCAUGUGAAUGAGCAUCAACAGAAUCACAAGAAAUGUGAAAAAGACAUUUCUUGUAACUUGCUUUAAAGCAAGUGGACUAUCAUCAAACUGUUUGGCUACAUUAGUAUUAAAUAAAGUCCAGUAGAUGUACUAUCACCAAAUCAGAGUGGCGCAGCGGAAGCGUGGUGGGCCCAUAACCCACAGGUCCCAGGAUCGAAACCUGGCUCUGAUAAUUUUUCUAAUCUUUGUUUUUCUGGAUUUUAUGCUUGGAAAGCCCAUUAUCAUCAAGCCCAUAUUAGUUUUGUAGAUAUCCUGUCCAGCUCUAAGGUCAUUUCUUCUUCAACGAUUAAAUAAAGACCAGUUGCCUUUUUACCUUUUAUUUAUCAACUCACUAAUAUCUCGUUUUUUCAGUUUAUCCAUCCAAAAUGUCUCGUUAUAAUCCAUAAAAAAAUCCAUAAAAUAGAUGUUUCAUGGUUGAAGAUAGGCAUAAACACAAUUUUCAACUAUAAAGCGAAUAUAAUGUUUUCAGAAUCAAGUUUAAAGUUUUUUUUUAACCAAAAAGUUUAAAGUUUUUUUCAUAAAAAAAAGUUAAAUUUAUAAACUAAUGUUACCGUAAUAUACAAACAUGGGCGGCACAGCAUAUGUUACCGUUCCAUUAAAAACAAAACAUUGUUAUCACAAGCGAUCACGUGCAUCACAUGAUGGCCUUUUAUCCUGAAUCUGAUUGGUUGUAAUCUCGUCUUAUCACGUGAAACCCACGUGUCGUCACACCUUACCGGUUAGCUAACCGAGCUUAAACCGGAUAUCAACAUCGCUUCUUACACGUGUCGAAAUGUACGGCCAAAAAAACUUCGAGGUGAGCUCACGAGUCUCCAGUCUACUACCGCAGAUAAUAAAAAGCUCAGCCAAAUCAGGCGUCGUCACAGUCGAGUUCUCCGGCGAAGAUGAGAACCGGAAAGGGGAAUCAAGAGGAGGAAGAUUACGGAGGAGAAGACGACUUGGGCUUGAAACGGGAAGGUUCUUCUUCCGCGAGCAGAGGUAAUUCUGUGGGAUUUGAAUUUCGAUUUGUGCUGAAUUGGAGCUAUUUCGAUUUGAAUCGAGAUGGGUUUGUCUUGGAAGAGAUUGGGUUGAAUCUGAUUCGGUGUUUGAUUUUUGAAGCAGAUGCAAAGGACAAUGAUAAGGCUAGUGCGGUACGUUCUAAGCAUUCGGUGACAGAGCAGAGGAGAAGAAGCAAGAUCAAUGAAAGGUAUGUUGAAUUUAAACAGUUAAAAAUUUCAAGCUUUAGAGGUGGUUGGGACAUGUGUCUGUCAUGGACUGGUGUGGUAUCAACGUUACGGAAGAGCUCGGUCACUACGUAGCGACCGAGCUUGGCUCGAGCUCGGUCGGUUUUUCUGGAUUUUAUGCUUGGAAAGCCCAUUAUCAUCAAGCCCAUAUUAGUUUUGUAGAUAUCCUGUCCAGCUCUAAGGUCAUUUCUUCUUCAACGAUUAAAUAAAGACCAGUUGCCUUUUUACCUUUUAUUUAUCAACUCACUAAUAUCUCGUUUUUUCAGUUUAUCCAUCCAAAAUGUCUCGUUAUAAUCCAUAAAAAAAUCCAUAAAAUAGAUGUUUCAUGGUUGAAGAUAGGCAUAAACACAAUUUUCAACUAUAAAGCGAAUAUAAUGUUUUCAGAAUCAAGUUUAAAGUUUUUUUUUAACCAAAAAGUUUAAAGUUUUUUUCAUAAAAAAAAGUUAAAUUUAUAAACUAAUGUUACCGUAAUAUACAAACAUGGGCGGCACAGCAUAUGUUACCGUUCCAUUAAAAACAAAACAUUGUUAUCACAAGCGAUCACGUGCAUCACAUGAUGGCCUUUUAUCCUGAAUCUGAUUGGUUGUAAUCUCGUCUUAUCACGUGAAACCCACGUGUCGUCACACCUUACCGGUUAGCUAACCGAGCUUAAACCGGAUAUCAACAUCGCUUCUUACACGUGUCGAAAUGUACGGCCAAAAAAACUUCGAGGUGAGCUCACGAGUCUCCAGUCUACUACCGCAGAUAAUAAAAAGCUCAGCCAAAUCAGGCGUCGUCACAGUCGAGUUCUCCGGCGAAGAUGAGAACCGGAAAGGGGAAUCAAGAGGAGGAAGAUUACGGAGGAGAAGACGACUUGGGCUUGAAACGGGAAGGUUCUUCUUCCGCGAGCAGAGGUAAUUCUGUGGGAUUUGAAUUUCGAUUUGUGCUGAAUUGGAGCUAUUUCGAUUUGAAUCGAGAUGGGUUUGUCUUGGAAGAGAUUGGGUUGAAUCUGAUUCGGUGUUUGAUUUUUGAAGCAGAUGCAAAGGACAAUGAUAAGGCUAGUGCGGUACGUUCUAAGCAUUCGGUGACAGAGCAGAGGAGAAGAAGCAAGAUCAAUGAAAGGUAUGUUGAAUUUAAACAGUUAAAAAUUUCAAGCUUUAGAGGUGGUUGGGACAUGUGUCUGGGAACUGUGAUCUGCCUCAGUGUUGUGGUAUAUUGAUAAAGAUUAGUAUAUCAUUCAAUGUUUCUAUGUUGGACUUAGUUGAAUUACCAUAUCUUAUGAGUUGCUGAAUGUAUAAAUGUCUUGUCAGAUUUCAAGUAUUGAGAGAGCUGAUUCCCAACAGUGAACAGAAAAGAGAUACAGCUUCAUUCCUUUUAGAGGUAUGUUUGAUGUGAUUGCUAUGUGAAUGUCUUAAGCCUUAGAUCAUGUUACCCUAAUACAGAUGUUCCGUUCUAGGUGAUAGGUUAUGUCCAGUAUUUACAAGAGAAGGUGCAAAAGUAUGAAGGAUCAUAUCCUGGAUGGAGUAAGGAACCAACAAAGUUGAUACCUUGGGUACCCCUUUCUCAUGCUUUAUACUUUUCUGUGCAUUGACACACAGCUGAAUCUUUUCGUUAUCCUGAUUGGAACAGAGGAAUAAUCACUGGCGAGUUCAGAGUUUAGCGAGCCAUCCAGUAGCUUUAAAUAAUGGAUCUGCUCCAGUGGUACCGUUUCCUGGGAAGUUUGAAGAAAUCACAGUGGCCUCUGCACAUGCAACUGUUGCAGAACUGCAAAGCCCUGUUGAAUGUGACAAAGGAAGAGCUAUAGCCUCCAAAUCAAUAGACAGUCAAGCUGAGUUAGAUGACAAGGGAUUACCGUCAUUACAACCAAUCCAUCCAUUCGCACACAGUGAACAAGUUAAUAAUAUUGAAUGUCCUGCAACAAGUGAUGGGCAAGGCCCAAGUGACGACCUGGUUAUUGAAAGUGGAACCAUUAGCAUCUCUACUGUCUACUCCCAUGAGUGAGUCAAACCUGAUUUUUCUAACAUAGCUGUGUUGUGUUGGCUUCUUAUUAAUGGCUUGUGAUAUGAACAGGUUAUUGAGCUCAUUAACACAAGCACUCCAGAAAGCAGGCAUCGAUCUGUCGCAUGCUAAACUUUCUGUGCAGAUUGAUCUUGGAAAGCGAGCCAAUCCAUCCAAUAAGGUUCUCAUUUUCGAAAUGCUUCAUGUUCAGUGUGAUAGUAACUAUGUAUAAUUGUAUAUCAUGGUCUUGAUACAUUUUGUUUAAGUGCAGAACCUGUUAACUUCUGAUACUGAAGGCGCUACAAGAUCAAGGAAUCUAAGCGUUGAGGAAGAUUCUGAACAUUCUCAUAAGCGGAUGAGAACACUGUGACAUCUCUCUCAGGCUCUGGAAUAUAUAUAAAUGUAUUGACAGAUAUCUUCUUUUCUGUAAAUUUGUUCGGCUUCUAGGGGAAUCCUAUGAUAGUUAAGAUAUAAACUAUGGUUAGUAGUAUUUAGUGGUUUUGAGUUUGUAUCAUCUUCUGCAUUAUUCAUGUAACCUAUCAAACACAAUGUUGCUGCUAUAAAGACAACAUAGUUUCGGGAAAAAGAUUCGAUAUUCGUCUAUUUAUAAGUUGAAAGCUUUUCUUACACCGACAAACAAACAAACAAAAAAGUCUGGUUUUUAUAAUAAGCGAAUCAAAUGAAUAAAAUGCGUCUUCUUUUGCAUAUUCGCUAAAGCAAAAGCUAUACACUGAUGAAGAGACAAAGAUCAUAUACCAUAAGGUAACUUCCCUCACAUGGGUUGUACAAAACUAUAAUAUAUAUUUCUAGUUUGCUGCAUUUGUCUCUUUCUUUUUCUCUUCUUCAACAUCCUGCAAACACAUGAACGCAGAUUUUAAUCCAAUAUGUUCUCUAGUUGUAUCUAUUGUAAGAAAUGUAAGAGAAGUGCUUACGGAGUUGCCAAUCUUGUCAAAGUCAUCAUCAUCAUCUAGGCUUCCAUCACCAUCACCAUCACCAUCAUCUGCAAGGUUAUACGAUACACAAAGAAAUCAAUCUCUGAAGACAAAUUUAAAACAUGGGGAAGCAACAAGUUCAAUGUCUCACCAGGAGCUUCGUCACUGUCUUCUAGAUCUCCCAAGAGGAAUGUAUCCAGAUCCUGCUCAGACGAUGCAGUAGAUGCUCUACUCUUUGUCACAUUGUUUUCAGCUGUUUCUGUCCCUCCAACUGCUGGAGUCUUCUUAGCUUCUUCAACUUUACUCUCUGCUUUGUUCCUAAGCUCCUCCAUGUACUUCCUCUCAUAUCUUAACCAAAAAAAAAAAAAAAAAAAACCACAAAAACGGAGAAGCCUCAGAAACAUUAGAUACAACUCGAUCCAAAGCCUGGAAAUUUAGUACUAUUAUUACCUUAAAGGCGACAUGAUUGUCGGUCUUGUUGGUCAAGUAAAGAGAGCAUGAGAUCUGCUUCCUCAAUUCAACUACAUCGAAUCAUAUCAGAGAAGAUGAAUCAUUAAAACCUUAAAAUCUAGAUCUGGUCCGGACAAGAAGAAAGACAUGCGAAAUAACGAAAACGUGUCUGAAAUAAGCUUACAAGGAAACUGAAGGUCGAGAGGCUCGACGGUAAGAAGCUCGCUGUUACUCAUCUCGAUCAGAUCGCCGGAGACUCAAAUAGAUUCGUCCCGUGUCGCGCGUCUCCGGUUCCGACAGAACAGUUGUCGAUCGAGAGAGAGAGAGAAUGGAGAAACUGGGACUUCGCUGUGUGUUUUGUUUCAGUUUCCAGGGUGUUAUUGUCUUUCACUAAAAAACAAUAAUCAUUACGAAAUUCUUUGGCACGGCGAUGCAAGUGGUGGAGAAGUGUAAGGAGAUGAAGAUAUUCGUGGAUAAGUGGAGGUACAAGGCAGCGUUCAUGGAGACUCUGAAGAAGCUUAGAUUGCCAAAGUUGAGGAAGAGGAAGAUGAAGAAGGUUGAGUUUCUUGAUGCCUUUAGGAACUGGGUUGGUAUUACCACAUGAAUAAUUCUCUCAAAGACCUUAAACUUGUCUGUUGAUGUCUCUUGGACAUACAUAAAUCUCAAAGUAAACUGUAGUAUCUUUGGUUAAAGAAGUCUGAAAUUCAAAACACUAAAUUGAAUCUUUGUCAAAUUGUUUUACUUUGCACCUUCUAUAUACUUUUAUACCAAAUAACACUUAAGAUUUCAAACUAAAUCACUCUUACUGUGCUUCAUGAUUAUUAAGCUUGGGAAAGACACCUGAAAACUCUCCAACAAGUAUCAAUAAACAGAUCAAACCAUCCAUCAAGUUUAGUAGGGAAUAGCCUGAUUAAAUAAAGGAAAAUAGUCGAUAGAUUCAUGUGAAUGAGCAUCAACAGAAUCACAAGAAAUGUGAAAAAGACAUUUCUUGUAACUUGCUUUAAAGCAAGUGGACUAUCAUCAAACUGUUUGGCUACAUUAGUAUUAAAUAAAGUCCAGUAGAUGUACUAUCACCAAAUCAGAGUGGCGCAGCGGAAGCGUGGUGGGCCCAUAACCCACAGGUCCCAGGAUCGAAACCUGGCUCUGAUAAUUUUUCUAAUCUUUGUUUUUCUGGAUUUUAUGCUUGGAAAGCCCAUUAUCAUCAAGCCCAUAUUAGUUUUGUAGAUAUCCUGUCCAGCUCUAAGGUCAUUUCUUCUUCAACGAUUAAAUAAAGACCAGUUGCCUUUUUACCUUUUAUUUAUCAACUCACUAAUAUCUCGUUUUUUCAGUUUAUCCAUCCAAAAUGUCUCGUUAUAAUCCAUAAAAAAAUCCAUAAAAUAGAUGUUUCAUGGUUGAAGAUAGGCAUAAACACAAUUUUCAACUAUAAAGCGAAUAUAAUGUUUUCAGAAUCAAGUUUAAAGUUUUUUUUUAACCAAAAAGUUUAAAGUUUUUUUCAUAAAAAAAAGUUAAAUUUAUAAACUAAUGUUACCGUAAUAUACAAACAUGGGCGGCACAGCAUAUGUUACCGUUCCAUUAAAAACAAAACAUUGUUAUCACAAGCGAUCACGUGCAUCACAUGAUGGCCUUUUAUCCUGAAUCUGAUUGGUUGUAAUCUCGUCUUAUCACGUGAAACCCACGUGUCGUCACACCUUACCGGUUAGCUAACCGAGCUUAAACCGGAUAUCAACAUCGCUUCUUACACGUGUCGAAAUGUACGGCCAAAAAAACUUCGAGGUGAGCUCACGAGUCUCCAGUCUACUACCGCAGAUAAUAAAAAGCUCAGCCAAAUCAGGCGUCGUCACAGUCGAGUUCUCCGGCGAAGAUGAGAACCGGAAAGGGGAAUCAAGAGGAGGAAGAUUACGGAGGAGAAGACGACUUGGGCUUGAAACGGGAAGGUUCUUCUUCCGCGAGCAGAGGUAAUUCUGUGGGAUUUGAAUUUCGAUUUGUGCUGAAUUGGAGCUAUUUCGAUUUGAAUCGAGAUGGGUUUGUCUUGGAAGAGAUUGGGUUGAAUCUGAUUCGGUGUUUGAUUUUUGAAGCAGAUGCAAAGGACAAUGAUAAGGCUAGUGCGGUACGUUCUAAGCAUUCGGUGACAGAGCAGAGGAGAAGAAGCAAGAUCAAUGAAAGGUAUGUUGAAUUUAAACAGUUAAAAAUUUCAAGCUUUAGAGGUGGUUGGGACAUGUGUCUGGGAACUGUGAUCUGCCUCAGUGUUGUGGUAUAUUGAUAAAGAUUAGUAUAUCAUUCAAUGUUUCUAUGUUGGACUUAGUUGAAUUACCAUAUCUUAUGAGUUGCUGAAUGUAUAAAUGUCUUGUCAGAUUUCAAGUAUUGAGAGAGCUGAUUCCCAACAGUGAACAGAAAAGAGAUACAGCUUCAUUCCUUUUAGAGGUAUGUUUGAUGUGAUUGCUAUGUGAAUGUCUUAAGCCUUAGAUCAUGUUACCCUAAUACAGAUGUUCCGUUCUAGGUGAUAGGUUAUGUCCAGUAUUUACAAGAGAAGGUGCAAAAGUAUGAAGGAUCAUAUCCUGGAUGGAGUAAGGAACCAACAAAGUUGAUACCUUGGGUACCCCUUUCUCAUGCUUUAUACUUUUCUGUGCAUUGACACACAGCUGAAUCUUUUCGUUAUCCUGAUUGGAACAGAGGAAUAAUCACUGGCGAGUUCAGAGUUUAGCGAGCCAUCCAGUAGCUUUAAAUAAUGGAUCUGCUCCAGUGGUACCGUUUCCUGGGAAGUUUGAAGAAAUCACAGUGGCCUCUGCACAUGCAACUGUUGCAGAACUGCAAAGCCCUGUUGAAUGUGACAAAGGAAGAGCUAUAGCCUCCAAAUCAAUAGACAGUCAAGCUGAGUUAGAUGACAAGGGAUUACCGUCAUUACAACCAAUCCAUCCAUUCGCACACAGUGAACAAGUUAAUAAUAUUGAAUGUCCUGCAACAAGUGAUGGGCAAGGCCCAAGUGACGACCUGGUUAUUGAAAGUGGAACCAUUAGCAUCUCUACUGUCUACUCCCAUGAGUGAGUCAAACCUGAUUUUUCUAACAUAGCUGUGUUGUGUUGGCUUCUUAUUAAUGGCUUGUGAUAUGAACAGGUUAUUGAGCUCAUUAACACAAGCACUCCAGAAAGCAGGCAUCGAUCUGUCGCAUGCUAAACUUUCUGUGCAGAUUGAUCUUGGAAAGCGAGCCAAUCCAUCCAAUAAGGUUCUCAUUUUCGAAAUGCUUCAUGUUCAGUGUGAUAGUAACUAUGUAUAAUUGUAUAUCAUGGUCUUGAUACAUUUUGUUUAAGUGCAGAACCUGUUAACUUCUGAUACUGAAGGCGCUACAAGAUCAAGGAAUCUAAGCGUUGAGGAAGAUUCUGAACAUUCUCAUAAGCGGAUGAGAACACUGUGACAUCUCUCUCAGGCUCUGGAAUAUAUAUAAAUGUAUUGACAGAUAUCUUCUUUUCUGUAAAUUUGUUCGGCUUCUAGGGGAAUCCUAUGAUAGUUAAGAUAUAAACUAUGGUUAGUAGUAUUUAGUGGUUUUGAGUUUGUAUCAUCUUCUGCAUUAUUCAUGUAACCUAUCAAACACAAUGUUGCUGCUAUAAAGACAACAUAGUUUCGGGAAAAAGAUUCGAUAUUCGUCUAUUUAUAAGUUGAAAGCUUUUCUUACACCGACAAACAAACAAACAAAAAAGUCUGGUUUUUAUAAUAAGCGAAUCAAAUGAAUAAAAUGCGUCUUCUUUUGCAUAUUCGCUAAAGCAAAAGCUAUACACUGAUGAACAGACAAAGAUCAUAUACCAUAAGGUAACUUCCCUCACGUGGGUUGUACAAAACUAUAAUAUAUAUUUCUAGUUUGCUGCAUUUGUCUCUUUCUUUUUCUCUUCUUCAACAUCCUGCAAACACAUGAACGCAGAUUUUAAUCCAAUAUGUUCUCUAGUUGUAUCUAUUGUAAGAAAUGUAAGAGAAGUGCUUACGGAGUUGCCAAUCUUGUCAAAGUCAUCAUCAUCAUCUAGGCUUCCAUCACCAUCACCAUCACCAUCAUCUGCAAGGUUAUACGAUACACAAAGAAAUCAAUCUCUGAAGACAAAUUUAAAACAUGGGGAAGCAACAAGUUCAAUGUCUCACCAGGAGCUUCGUCACUGUCUUCUAGAUCUCCCAAGAGGAAUGUAUCCAGAUCCUGCUCAGACGAUGCAGUAGAUGCUCUACUCUUUGUCACAUUGUUUUCAGCUGUUUCUGUCCCUCCAACUGCUGGAGUCUUCUUAGCUUCUUCAACUUUACUCUCUGCUUUGUUCCUAAGCUCCUCCAUGUACUUCCUCUCAUAUCUUAACCAAAAAAAAAAAAAAAAACUUUUAGACUUAAUACGCAGCUAUGAAGUUUCAGUUCACUUAUAACAUGUCUUGAGCUGCUCAGUCUAGUGAAUAUACAGGCCAUAGGCCAUCUUUACCACGAUUCUCAAUCUCAGCCUUAACUCUUUAUUAUUCUACUAAAGUUGCCUACUCUUUUUGAAAACGAAUCUCAAUCUUUACUCUACACUAAAUCUCUUUUGAAAACGUAGACUUUGACAAGAGAUGGAUAGAGCCUUACGGUGCAACAAGAGUGCACACAUGUCUUAAGCUGCUCAGUCUUAUGAAUAUUCAGGUCAAAAGCUAUAUCUACCACCUCCUAUGCGCUUAACACGAUUCUCAAUCUCAGCCUUUACUCAUGUAUUAUUCUAAUAAAUUUCCUACUCUUUUAAAAACAUAUCUUUAGAAAAGUGCCUGAGCCUUACGGUGCAACGUGAGUGCUCACUAAAGUAAAGUAAAUCCUCCAGAAUCUCCUUUCCUUCAUGACUCUUGGGCAUAACUCAUAUCUCAACUUGGAAAUUUGCUGCAAACAUCACACAAAGUCCAAACAUUAAACAAAAAGUCUACAUCUUGAACAUGUAAACGAGAGAGAUGAGUAUAUAUACCUUAACAGAGCCAAGAACAAGAGUGGCAUGUCUCUCCUGCCACUCCGAGAGAUCCUUCCUUACAUUUGACUCAGUUGUUCCCAAUUCAGAAACUUCCGACGAUUCAUCUAUCCACAUUCAUCAGAACACAUUCAUCACACACAUUCAUCAUAACACAUUCAUCAUAACACAGUCACCAUAACACAUUCAUCAUACAUACACAUUAAUCAUAACACAUUCAUCAUAACACAUCACCAUGCACAUUCAUCAUAACACAUUCAUCAUAACACAUCACCAGGCACAUUCAUCAUAACACAUUCAUCACACACAUUCACCAUACACAUUAAUCAUAACACAGUCACCAUAACACAUUCAUCGAUUCACCAGCAACAACACGACCAUACCUUGUUCAGGGAAAGCCUUGAACGUAUCAGAAGUCAAUCCCUUAACAAACUCUCUCAGAUCAUCCGUGAUCCCAAAACUCAACAGCUCCGACUCCGAGAUCACAGAUCCAGAUCCCGAUCCGGACCCGAACGAAGCAAGCUGCGGAGGAAUAAUGUCGGCAAUGGACUUCAUAUUCUGGAUCUGAUCCGCCUGCUUCAUCGCGACGACCUUGAGCUGAUCCGCCUUCGUUGACACCUCAGCUGCAAACUCCUUGGACUUCUUCGCCGUCUCGGCCACGAACUCGGAGACGUUGAGCUGAUCGGCUUUCUUCGAGGCUUCGAUUGCGAACUCUUUCGAUUUCUUGGCGGUUUCGGAGACCAGGUUGACGAAGGAGGUGGAAGAUGAUUGUAAGGUUAUGGUUUGAGACUUCUUCGCUGCUUCCUCCGCGAAUGAUUUCGCCCUCUUCCAUAGAUCCUCCAUUGCUCUCUCACGCUGCAGAUUGUUUUUUUUUUUCUCCCCGAUCUGUUGUUUUAGCGUCAGUGACGAUAUUAAAGAGAACGUUCCGCUAAACAGGGCGAGAAACCCUCUGGAUCGUCCAGAGACUUUCGCUUUGAGAAAACUUAUAAAGGGUUUAUUUGACUUUGUUUGACUGAAUACUCUUCCUUUGGAAUUAGAUGUCAUGUUCUUCACAGAUAUUUUUAAAAGUUAAUUAUUUUUCUUUAAUUUACAGUUAGACUAUUUUAUUAUUUAUAUAAAUUUAAUUCAAAUAUAUAUUAGAAUUAUAAAAUGGCAAUUAUUUAUAACAAUUUUUUUUACUAUAAACCCAAAAAUGUUAUAAACGAUAGAUGUUAGACAAUGUAUUUAACUUAAAUUUUGAUCAAGAGAACCUAACUGAGGAAAUCUUCUUUUGCAUUUUAAGAUAGUGCUAUUACUCUUUAAGAUUUGAGGGUGCCAAAUGAAAAUAAAAAAGCAAGCAAUGGUGCCUAACGAGCCAACAAAUCACGAAUCAAACUAAAGUUCGUUAGCCCCAGCCCGCAAGUGGAGAAGCAUGGUCGAUCCUAAUGAUGGUUGAUCAUCUGAACGAGGUCGCUACAAUGGAAUCCCAGGCAUAAUUGGUAUUGCCUGAUUAUGAGAGAGGCAUUGAUCACUCAAGUGAGUGUUGCAAGUUUAGAGUGGAGGACUCAUAAGUUCGGAUAAUAUAAUUUUUCUUAUGAUGCCGGCGAGUUUUUCUUGUCUAUCCCUUUCAAAAAAAAAGUUAAGGAUUUGUCUUCACUCUUCGCGCCUCCAAAUAAACUCUCCCAAUCCUAUUACUAGAGGCUCCUCCUCCUUUGUGCGCCACUUGCCUCUCUGGUGCCUUACGGCGCUGCGAGAGGGCUUCCUCUGAUUCCGUCAUAUCCAAAUCUCUCUCUGGCGUGGGUGGUAUUUGGUGAAGCGAUUCCAAGUCUGGCCAUCGUCAUCUCGUCGAGUUAUGAUGGCUUAUCGUGGUUCCCCCUAGCGACUGUACUGCUGUGUGUAGCUAAACGUCGCCGAUUUGGUGGUAUCCUCUCUCAACUUCAGACAUUUUGACGGCUUGUGCCCUAAACAUCGCUAUCAACCAUUUCCUUCAAGGGCUUUCCGGGUAUGUGCCACUUGAGCUAGAGGUUUCGGGAUCUUGGACUCUGAUGUUGGUGACAUCUUUGUCUUUGCACUGAGUCAAGAUUAGGCGAUUAUUAACUAUUGAGUGAUGCAUUAAUUUAGUUCUGCGUCCCUCCUUUGUUGUUGGUUUAACGUUACUUGUUAGUCUGGAUUUGAGUUAUAGGUUGCAUCUAGCUUGGAUAGUGGAGGUUCUUUGUAUUCUACGAGCUUUGGAUCAGACCUUGCAGAUGGAGGAUGUAGUAAAACAUAGGAGCCCCUUUCUCCUUACCCUCUUAGAGGACAAUAGUGGUGGAAUUUAGUUGAGCGCUAGGUGUGUGUUGUCUCGUCGUUUUCUGGAACUUAGGUUCAGUUCAUUAUCCCAGCUCGGACUAUGACGGCAGUCCUUGCAGUGAGCUUGAUUCUGCGGCUAAGAGGGAAAGCAAUUUUUUGGGCGGACAUUCGAGCCAGCUUCAUGCAUGCAUUUUGUACCUCGUGGUCAUGUUCUUUGAGUUCUUCCACUGUAAUUUGUCUCGGUUCAACCUUUCAUCUGACUUGUCAAGAAUUUUGUUGUUACUUGUUGUCAUAUUUGCUCCAUGUUUUUAUUUUUCUGCCGUGAAAUUAAGUUUAGGUAUCUGCAAGUAUCAACAAUUUAUUUUUGAAAUGAUGUUUACAUUUUAACUGAAAAAAAAACUAUGACUAGCUGACCACAUAUUAUGGAGAAAAAAAUUGCAAUAAAUCUUGAAGAUGGUGAAUGGCGUACCAUCGAACAUGAAUUUCAUAGGACGGCUAGAAAUGGUGCAGUCAUACAUAUAUUCUCAUAAAACAGUAGAAUUGUCGUCUUUUAAAAUCGUUUAUAUAAUAUUUUUCAUCCAGACGUUUAAAAAAAAGACCAGCUGGCUGCAAACAAUCUUUGACUUGCAUUGCAUGACUUUCAAAAUCCGUUUAAGAAGUAAAUUUCUCUUGAUUCACAUCAAUAUUAUAUUAGUCGUUUCGUUCUCUGCAUUGCGUUGAGAUUAAAAAAAAAAGUUAACACACCUCUUGAAUUUAGCAUUUGCGUCACAGCGAUGCUACCACUUAGUAUUUGGCACAUAAUGUGGCGCAUUUUGGACGAGAAGUGGACUUUCGAUGCUUUCGGAUUCGUGGUUCUGUGAGCGGUAUAUUCAUAAUCGUCUCUGCCACCCAAUUCACAUACUAGUGAGUUGCCAUGCAUCAACUUUAAAUUUUGAUUUGAUGGCCAGAUUUCUAAUUAAGGGGAUGUCAUGUGGAAAAAUGAUCUGAAAUUUGUAACAUAUAUAAAUAUCCCAACUAUUUAUUCAUUCUCAUACAAACAAAUAUUUGUUAAGCCUUUUUUCAAAAAAAAAAAAAACAAAUAUUUGUUACAAGUCUGUACAAUAGAAAACAUAGGUUCGAAAGAACCCAUUAAACAGAAAGAUCACAAUUCUAAAAAGAGAAAAGGAAAAUAAAAGAACUAAAUGCCAGUAGGCACCAGGGGAUAAGGAGCAGGUCUAGGGUCAGCCAACCCUGAAAAAUGUAGUUAAUUUUUCAACAUUGUAAAUUUUAAUGAAGUAUGUAUUCAAAUACUGCAAGGCUAUUGGAUGUUAAGAUAUGGUACUUAUAUACGAGAACAUUAAAACUUAUCUCCUUUUUAUUAUUUGAAGAACAUUUUUAUUAAAUAAUUUUACCCUCAUGUAUGAUUAACAAAAAGCUUAUGUGUCAUCAUGAAAGUCUUUUUCAUACUUUUUAAAAAAAGAUUAUAUAUUGCCUUGAAUAAUUACAUAUAAUGCCUUUGUUCAUUAAAACUACAUGUAUUUUACUUUAUACUAUGAAAGCCCUUUCGUAUAUGAAUAUACAAACAUAAUGAUACAUACAUAAAUAUAAUAGAAGUUUGGUUUAUAACUUUAUAUAUGAAUAACUGUAAAAUACAUAUUAUAUAUGUAUAUUCUAUGUAUUAUAUUAGAAGAUCUUAUAUGGUUUUAUAAUAGAAUAUUUUAUGUAUUAUAUAUUUAUAUCAUUAAGUCAUAUAUGACUUUUAUCUUAACUUCUAAUAUAUGUUUCGUUAAUUACCAACAUAUAAUAUAUGUGUUAUAUAUAUGCUCUGCUAUGUAUAUCUAAAUUAACGAGUCAUAAAUGUAUGUAUUAUAUAUGAAAGUGAAGUCUGAGUCAUUUACAAAUUCAAAUGUAAAUAAUAGAAGGGUAAAUAAUAUAUAACUUAUUGUCAAACCGGUCGAGUUAAUAUAAUUAUUUCUCGGUUAGGAUGAACCGAACUGUUUAUUACAUAGUAAACCAAAUAUUUUUUUAAUAAAAGAAAGGUUAAAAAUAUAUGUCUUAUUAAUUUGCCCAGUUAAACUAGUCGGGUUAGUAUGAUGAUUCUCGGUUAGGGUGAACCGGAUUGUUUAUUGGAAAUUAAUUUGAUUUGUUUCAAAAAGAAAUUCAAUGAUUUUGAUGAAUCAGUAUUGAAACAAAUAUAUUUUCUUUGAAUUCUUUUGUUAUUUCAAAAAGUAAAUUUUGAAGUUGGUUUUUUUAUAUAGUAAAUCAAACAAUUUUUUUUAAAAGAUGAUCCGUAGUUUUUGAUGAAUGCAACAUAAUUUUUUGUUAACAAAAACUUUUGUUACUAUCCACUACUGCAUAUGUUAAGUUAAUUGUUAGAACGUUAGUUUAUGUUUCUUAUAAUUCAAAGUCAAGUCUAAUUAGCUAAUAUGAACGAUCUCUUGACUGAUUGUAUGAUAUUUAAUUAUAUUGCAUGCAAACCCUUAACUUAAGGACCAAGACUUUGUGUUUAAACAAUCAACAUAAAUGGUGACAGGGAGUCGCUAUUCGAUUUUCAUAGUUAAUAUUAUUUUCUAUUUGUUGAUUCCUUAGUUGUAAUACUUUCCAAUUUUCUAAAAUUAUAAACUAAAAGUAAGCGAUUAUUAGGACUAACUUUCUGUAAUGGAAUAUUCGUUUUGUCUAGAAUUUGGAUGUAUUCGGAAAACAAUUAAAAUUUAAUAAAAUUAUAACAAAUCAAUUGUAUUAAUAAGAUUGUUAUUGUUUGUUGUCCAUAACUAGAUUGUUGGUCCCUCGCUAUUCUACUAAAUUUCCAAACCUAGAUUGUGUAUUUUCACUACUCCUUUUUAUCAAACGUUACAUCUUCUAUUCUAUAACAUGUAUAAUAUGUGACUAUAGCUUUUACAUUUUAAUAUUUAUUGAUUAAAAGUUAUAAUAUUUUCUAGUCCAUUCAAUUCGCGCAAAGCGCAGAUCACCACCUAGUUAUAAUAUUAAUUCAAGCGCACUACAAAUUAUGAUGCAUCAGGAUGAAUAAAGCAUACAACAUUAUCAUUCAGCUAAUUUACCAUAAGUGGAUGUAGAGCAGGCUAAUGUGCUGACUCGGGACAUCAUAGGUAUUUAAGUCGAAGCCAACCCUAAAAAUACAAAUUAAAAUUUUAGAGUCUUACAAUGUUAAUGUCAUUGCUUAUACUUGAAAUGUUUAGUUUUACACCCAUACUGACCUAUGAAAAAAUUAGGUUGUUGGAACGACUAGUCCAGAAUUAUUUUUACGUUUGGUUUAGGCUUAUCAAGGUUGUGCCAUAAGCGUCCAUUUAACUUUAACAUAUAGUAUUGCGAAUUUUCUACCAUUUUUAUGAAAAAGUUCUACCAAUAUAUAUGUUUACCACCACAAUAUCUUAUGAUGAUCAUAUUCUCUAGUUGGUUUUUGUACUAUACGAACAAACCUCAAGUAAUCUAAAUAAGCAGAAUAAUAAUAUAUCCUACAACAAGAUCUCAGCUGUGUUUCUCCUCUGCGUUGCUAUUUACAUUUACAACAUAAUAAAUAUCUCCUUGUUUAUAUAAUAGCAUGAGAAUAACAACACAAAGAAAAAUACGCAAAUGUGUUAGAUAAGUGGUAAUCCCUAACCAGAAACAAAAAAAAAAUUAACGUUUUUUUAAUUGAAUGUUAAAUUUAAUUCAAAGAAAAAAUGACAUUUUUACAACAAGUGUAGCCUAUUUUGAAAUUUGCAUAAAAAUAUCUAUCAAAACCUAACAGUUCCAACUUUCUUAUAAUAAAAUUCUAUCAAGUAUCAAACCAAAUUGCUUUCCAUUUGCAUACUCCUUGUCUCCCUUCCUCUGAAUCACAAUAAACGUGUUCCUCAUGUUCUUAUCCAGCCUCUUCAUCAAAAGAAUAGCAGGAACCACGAUCUCUCCAUGUCUUCUUCGAUUCCGUUCUCUCCAAAUCAUGUGAACAGUUGACUGAAGCAUAUAUUUUGUAAUGAGGAUCUUAAUUUUACUCCAGCUUGAGUCACCCGUAAUGAGCCUAAUAAUACUUUCCUAGUCCACUGUAUAGUGAUCCCUCAACAGUAUCAUUGUACCAAUAUGUCUUGUCGGUUUUAGGUAUUUUGUUAUCGUUUACUACUUUCUAUUCCCUUAACAAAACUCGACCAAGUACUGUUACCAAGCAAACCAAACAAUAGUUAUGAUUUUUUGAGUGAAAAGAUCAUAAAACGAAAUAAGUGUUGGAAGAAAAGAUAGAUGGUGAGAGAGUGAAAGGUACGAAAAAAUAUAUGGUUAGGGUGUGGUCUAAUCUUUGUAUGCUGCCAGAAACCACUCUCUACCCCCACGGGACCACUUCUCCGCCAAACUGUAUUUGACUCUUUCGUAUAUUGAUAACAUCGUGUUAAUUCGUGUGUGUAAACAUAUAUUAUAGUUUCUAAGAUUAGCCUACAUGUAUAAUAGUAUUAAGUACAUUUGAAAUCGAGUUUAGAGAUGUAUACAGUGGGUGAUAGGUGGACCAUUUUUGAUAGGUUUUGGUGGAUGUCAGAUUGUGAAGUGAGCCAAGUUGCCCAUCCCUUUGGAGAUUUAUCCAAAUCUUUUCUGAUUGCUACAUUUUUGGUAUGUAUACUUCAUUCUUUAGCAGUCCUUAGCUUGUCGUUCCAAUCUUAUACAUUUUCGUGCCAUUUUUUGUCUGACUUUUUUAUCUAUAUGUUGCCAAAUUUGACAAAUAAUAUUUUAUUUUUGAAAAAAAGUUACAUCUUGGGUGUAAAAAUGUAUUCAAGUCUUUGUUUAAUUUUGAUCCAAAAAAAAAAAAAAAAGUCUUUGUUUAAUUUUGAAAAUAUAUAUGUGAUGUUUUAUUUGUUUGUUGUGGCGGAUUAUCUUUAUGUACGUACCCUUGUGAAAAAUAUAAUUACAUUUUCAUCUAAAAGAUUCAAUCAAAACUGGCUCUGGACAUUUAAGACUAUUAUAUGUAUAUGUUUGGCUCCUAUGUUAUUAAUAUUUGAAAAAAAAAUCUUAAAUCAGAUUUUAACCUGAGACAUUUCUAAAUGAGAUAUACACAUACUAGUUGAGUUGCUAACGUUUUUUUAUGAAAAUACUUCUCUAAAAUCAAAAUUUGUAGGUCCUAUAAGAAUAUAUCUGACGAGCUUCUAAGCAAGACCCUCUCUGGCAACCAACAGGUUAUGCCGUGGAAAAGGUCCCCAUAAAGACGUGUUGUUUCAUGAACUGUUUGGUAUUAGACUGGUUGCUUACAUUUUGAGAAAAAUCAAGUACGUCAUGAUUAUGAGGUGACUCUUAAGUAAAUAAAGGUCAACAUUUAGCAUAGAUAAUGAUCUCACGUAGUGAUCACGUUUAUGCAUUAAAGCUACGUACAUGUCAAAGGUGAUGAGAAAGGAACAUUUCAGAGUUGAAUAAUACAUAAGCCUUAUUACAACACUUUGUUUACAGGAAACUUUUUAAUGCAGACAAAUAUUAUUUUACUAACGAGACAAAAAGUUUAACGGGGAAGAAAGUGUGCACGUUAGCAAAAAUCAGAACCUCAAACUUUUACAGCUCCGUCUGACGUGGACCUCUGGCUCGGAUCGACGUCCCUUCCUUUUCUCCAAGAGACUACUUCUCUCUCUCUCUCUCUCCCUCCCUUAUUUUAGGAUUAUUUAUUAUUAGUUUAACGAAUAUUUACUUUCUCGAUAAAUCAUUUUCUUUCCUUUUUUCUCUCUUUUCUUUUUCAGCAGUCGUAUUAUCCUGCAAUUACGAUUUUUUAAAAUAAAAAUAUACGUACAAACAAAGGAGAUUUAAAAUAGUAACUUAUGGAAGAAAAACAGUUAAAAAAUCGUUUCAAAAAAGAAAGAAAGAAAAACAGUUAAAAAGUGUCUGAAGUGUUUAAAUUAAAUGAAAGACACGUGACACGUGCGUGACUGCCACUCUGUCUCCACAUGACAAUCUGACUCACGGGUCUGCCUUACGUCGCGUGCAACUUCCCUUUAAUUAUUCCGCUGAUUCCGACUUUUUACAAAGAAAACAUAAACUAAUUUUCUUUUUGAGAAUAACAUUAACUAAUUUUUAAAACUAAUAACCCAGAAAUAACUCGACUCAAUAGAUAUCAAGUAUAUGCUAUAAAUCAUGGAAGCUUAUAAAUAAAAUCACGAAUGUUAGUGUAAAAUGUAUGUAUAACUUUAUUAAAUCGAACACACAAAACAACUUUGUGUUUAAAACAAUUGAGUAUUUAACAAAUCAUUAGUUUUUAACUACUGCAAAUGGAGAAAGCUUAAUCUAGUAAGUACCUAUGUUAGUUAGUAAAGAAGCUAUUUGACGUAGCUUCUUAGGCAAAGGAAAGAGUGCGGUGGUGUGUCUCUAUGUGGUUGACCGUUGACUCAGUUUAAUAGAUUAGGCAGAUUAUCGAGUAAUAACGGAAGACAGUUAUUUAAUUAGUAGUUAAUCACAGGUUAAAAUUUAACUAUAAAUUAGUGUAUUUUAGGUAAAACUAACUGAUACUGAACCAAGAAUCCGGUGGAUUCCGUAGGCUUAAAAGGCUAUGAUCUGAUAUGACCUAACCUUAGGGUUGGGGACCAUACUAGAUAACUCAUAUAUGCCGGUUUUGGUUUUGAUUAAUUAAUGUAUGUUAUAACGAAUAUGAUAACACUUCAAUGAAAACUGUUGUCGGACACUUUUGAAUGGUAUCACAUUCCCUACUAAAAUAUAAAUAAAGUUCUAAACGUUUUUUCGGAACUUUGGACCAUUUCUCAUUUGUGGAAGUGGUAAACGUUGAAACAUACAUUUCAUAUAUGAAACUAUAACAUGUGCAAUACAAAACAGAUCGCUAAGACAAAAUUUUAAAUAAUAAUGUAAAUCUUGGUCUAAAAGUUCAACUCCAAUAAACAUAAAUCAAAUACCUUUUUUUUUUUUUUUUUUUUUUUUUUUUUUUUUUUUUAACAAAAACAUAAAUCAAAUACCUAAAACGUUGUAAAUUGUAAAUAUGAAAAAAAAAAUUUAUCCUCACCUUUUCUAAAUUCUUGCUAUUGUUUUAUACUAGUUUUUUUAUAGAACAUAAUUAAUUCUAAUAAUUUGUAUUUACAAAUAUUGUUUGUAUAAUUUUGAUAUGUCGCAAAAAUAUAUGAAUGGGUGAAUAUAGAGGAUUACACAGCUGGAGGUUAUACCAUAAACUUUACAUUUCAGUAAAUAUUAAUAUUACCAACAAAAUAAAACGACUCUCUUAUUACAGUAUAAACUAUUACUCCCGUUAUUUAUAGUAUUUGCAUUAUUUGAAAACUGCCGUUCCUAAGGGGCGCACUUCCAUGAAUUCGCUUGAGAUUAUGCUGCAUAGGUCGGCCACAAUAUUUUUGCUCCUUAAUUCCAUGCUUUAAAUCCCAUUUUGCUGCCCUUAUAGUAAACAAACCCCUUCUUGCUAUGCGACGAACUGAUAAUAAUAAGUUUAAAAAAAAAGACAAACUGAUAAUAAUAGUUAUCAUUAUAGUUUGACAGUUUCGCGACAUAUUCAUACAUAUAUGUGUCAAGUUAACAAUGGUUUGAAAAAUAUUAAUACAGAAUAGCAAUGACAAACAAGAGAUUUGAAACACAAACCAUAUAAUAUACGAAAAUUUUCAAUAAGUAGCAGGAAUUUGUGGCUGGUUUAAUUUGUGAAAACUUAGCUACGAAAUUUAAAAGCUAAAUUUUCACAAAUAAUACCAAAACUACGAAAUUCAAAACCAAAAAUUUUCACAUCUGUUUUCACAUGAUAUAGAUGUUUAGAAUUGGUGAAGUAAUUGACUGAAUUCUUUCGUAUAUACAUACCAUUUUUGCGAUGCAUUUUUUUUUUAAUUCGGAGGAUAUUUGAACCGAGGCUCAAACUAAUCCUCGGAAAAUAAUGGCACCAAUGAUUUUUCUUCAUCUAUAAGAGCAUCUCCAAUGUAUAACCCUAUUUUUUAUUCCAAAAUGGUGCAAUACCAAAAUGGAGUAAGGUUUUACUCCAAUGUAUUACUCCAUUUUUUACUCCAAAAAUAUUUUUUCUUAAAUGAUUUCAUUUUUAUUUUAUUAAUAAUUGCAAAUAAAAUCUUAUACUUAUAAAAAUUUACCAAUUAACUCCAACUAUUUUAUGUUUACAAUAAAUAAUUAAAAUAUAAAUUAUUUGAAUUAAAUAUUUAUUAUUAAAAAGUACAAGAAAUCAUUAAAAAAGAUAACAUACGUGGGUUCAACAAUGAACAUUAGAAUAUUUUUCCCACAAAUAAUCAACUAAUGCAUUUUGUAAUAAAAAAUGAACUUCUUUAUUUUUGAUAUUUCUAAAUAGAGCAAGAAAAUUUUGAAAUCAGACAUUUUCAUCUUCUGCAAUUUCGAUAUCCUGAGGUGGAGCUUCUCUUCCAAGUUCAAUUGGUGCAUCAAGUUCACGCUCAACAAGCUCUUUCUCAGAUUUCUCCGUUUGAGUAAUAUUUCACCGACCUUAGCGAAUCCGGAACGGAUUUUCCAGAUUAUUAAAUUACUUAUUUUAUGUUAUUUUUAUUUUUAUUUUUAUUUUAAUUAUUUAUGUUUAUGUUAUUUUAUGUAUUUAUUUAAAAUUAUUAAAUAAUCUGUUGUAGAAUAUACUAUUUUCAUGUUAUUGUAUCAUUUUAAAUAUUAUUUAAGUAAAAAAUAGAAACAUUAAAGAUUUAAAGGACCAUUUUAUAAAUAAAAAAAGUUCAACUCCAAAAUGGAGUAAUUGGUAGAAUUACUCCAUAAAUGGAGUAACCCUAACUAUUACUUCAUUUUAGAGUUGAAAAUGGAGUGGGGUUGGAGAAGAUUUUACUCCAUAAUGAUGUUUGGAGUUGAAAACAGAGUAGGAUUGGAAAUGCUUUAACUGCGAUUUUGUUGUGUCUUUACGUGCAGGAAAUAGUCAUGAAAUUUUUGUUUUGUAAACAAUUUAAAGUUAAUAUAAUUGAACGAUUGACAAAACUCAGAAUAGAUAACAAACAACCUUCUCAUAUUCAAAUACAAUUUUUACUACUAUUUCAACCGUUAUAAUAUCAGCACCAGAUAUUUUUCAUCAAAAAAAUUGUUUGUUUUGCCAUGCCGUUUCUUUACCGUAUCAAACCAUGUUGCGUUUCGUUUCUUUAAAGUAUUUAAAAAAAAAAGUAUUAUCGGGACACUGCAUGCCUUCACGAUAAAAUUAAAAACUAGUAAUAAUCUAAAUGGCGAGUCGCGAGUGGGUCAAUGCACGGAAAAAAAAAUCCAAGUUGGUGACUAAGUAAUGACCAGUCCAUCUACGUGUGUAGCUAUAUGGAGCCCCGCGCUUGAAUCUCGACAAGACAAAACCAUGAAUUUAUAAGGAACAUGGUCACCUUCACAUCACUUCGAUUCGGACAAACGUAGUUUAUGUACAUUAUAAAAGUAUAUUGAGAUAUUAAUAUAAAUCUCCUCCUUGUUAUAGCUAAACCCUUGUCUGCUAUCUUCGAAAGCAACCUUUUGGACCAACCACCUCGAACACACACACAAACAGAGUUUACAAAUAGUAUUUUUAUAUAGUACUAUAAUAGUUGCUACAGUUUAUCACUAUUUCAUCUCUCCGUUAAUCCAUUCUCCCUAGCAAUAAAAGCCAAUCAUAGUAUAAUUAUCGCAUCAACCAUGUGUUGUACUGAAUUGCGACAAUGCCGGCACAUAUAUCUGUCUGUCAUUUACACAGUAAAGGUAAUAAAGGAUUCAAUCAAAUUCUGAAUAUAUACACCAAUAAUUUAGUGUCUUGAUUGACUCGAUGUAUAUGAGAGAAUUGUACUGUUCAUAACAAUAGUAGUAGAAAUAGUUUACAAAUUUUUUUUGUAGCGACAAAAGAGAUUAUGGAUCCGUAAACCUGUUCAUCCUUUAAAUGUCGAUCUUACACCAUGUAAUUUAACUCUUUUUGAAAUAUAGUUUGUAACAAAAUUUGAAUUUGUAAUUUCCAAAUUCUUAUAAAUGAAAACAGAUGGUGUAGAUAAGUGUUAUCAUUCGAGUAAAAAAAGAUAUCUCAGAGAAAAGAAGAUAUCUCAGAGAUUCAAUUAUCUCUAACUAAGAAUAGAUCAAUUUUGAGAUAAAUGACGAUUAAUAUAUCAAAGUGAGGCAUUACUAACUUGGAGAUGAUCAAGAGCGUGGUAUAAAUAAAGGAAUCUAAGACGGUAAUUAGAAGGAACACGGUAAGAGAAAGGUAGGUGUAGCCACAGCAGAUCCCUAGACCCGGCUGAUGCAGCACGACGCUUUUGCCUAACCAUGUGACUUGCAUCUAAAGCCCUCCAUUUAAUUCAGCUGGCCGCUGCUUGUUUCCUUUUGGCUUUAUUGUAUAAGCCCACUCCUCUGGUCACUUUCUAACUCUGGUUACUACUAAGUACUAACUACUUGCUUCUUUUUCAAAUUUUCUCAAACGCCCAUUUAAAUUCUUCUUACUAAGUGUUUAACUCUAUCGGUAAGUUUUGUUUUCAAGUAUUUAUAAGAGAAAAUCAGUUUGAAUCUCACGUAUUUUAUAUUGUUGUAAUGAAGCAAUCUUUAUAGUUUGUUAUACAUACAUAACAAGAUUCUUAACUAAUAUGAUAAGAAAACAUCAAAAUAGUUUCUUUUCCAUCACGAGAAUUUGUAGUUCAGCUUAUAUUUUCAAGCAAUCACUAUAUAUGUUACGAAAACACAUAGUCCAAAGUCUACGAAAUAAUAGUAUUUUAUUACUAGUCUUUUUAAAGGACAAAAAAUGGAACACAAAUGGUGUGUGUAAAAUUCACACAUAACUAAAUUCGAUAGUUUCGGUUGUUGAAGAACACGGAAAAUGCUGGGGGAUUUCAAAUCUCAUGUAUUCAUAAUAUGGUAUCUGUACCAGUAAUAGAGUAAGAAUAUAGGAUAAUAAUAUCAUUUUAUAAAGAAUUUUUUUUUGAUGAGAAUAUAUAUUGGGAAAGAGAUAUGGUGGUACGGUCAAUAGUACGUAACGAAUGUACCUUUUUUUUUUGUAAAAACAAAGAGUACGUUUCCUCCCUGUUUACUCACUGUAAGCGUUAUUGUUUCACGUUAUGAACUUAUGAUAUGCCUUUUAUAUCACAUCUACCUCUCUUCCACAUUUACGUGUGGCAAUAACAUUGCUUAAUUCUUGAAUCUUGAUUGUAUUUAAUUCCAUUACAAUUACAGACUCUUUAGAUGAAACUGUUGAACGUACGUUGUAUGUAACACCAGUACGUUUUUGCUUAACUACACUCGGUUUAAUUGCAUUAUUAAAUAAAUUCUUACUGUUUAACAUAAACAAAGUACUAUCUAUCAAUAUAAACUAGAUUAAGACCCGCGCCUUGUGCGGAAUAAACAUUAUAUAUAUAAAUUAUUUUAUAUAUUAUAUGUUUACAACAUAUUAUGAAAUAAUAAAUAUAUAUUGAAUAAUUAAAAAGUCAUUAUCUACUAUUUAUAUAAUUAAAUUGGUGCGAACAUAUAAAUAAAUUUUAUAAAUCGAAAAAAUAUUUUUUCUAUUUGAUAUGAUAUAUAAUUAAAUUUAAAUGAUAGUAACAUAUAUAUGGUAUAUUUUAAUAUUAAUAUUUAUUAGAUGAUGCUUUUUGCUCAUAUUUUUUUUCAAAAUCAUUAAUUGUCAUAUAUACUUUAGCCACAUUAGGCAAUUAUGUAAUCUUAUUUAAGGAAAUAAUGAAGAAAAUUAAUAAUAAUUUAUUGUGGUUUAAUAAAAAACUUAUUAUAUAUUUAGAUGGACCAACAUAUUUCUCUAAGGAUUCUAAAAAUCAUUCUAAUGAUGACACGUGACUACAAAAAAAUGUUGCAAUGCUUCUCAAAUAAUAUAUAGGGGAUUAUGUAUUUUAGGGUCUGUUUUAACAAGUUUAUAAAUUUGAGGGGUUUUACUAUAAAUUCCAUAUUUUUGGCUUUUUUCUCAAUCUCAUGUAUUUUUUUUAACACUAAAUAACACAAUUACAUUGUCAUAUAAUCUUUAGUUCUAUUACAUACAAUGAAUAACUCUACAGAUGAACCUUUCUAUGAAACACUUGGAUGGUUCUGCAUCUCGUGUAGUUUUUCUUAUAUAAGGAAAACAAUGUUCGACAAUAAUUUGAUACGAAUCAUACGAUACACUAUUCCCAUAUGGUCGUUCUUAAAAAUCCCAUUUGCAGUUUUUUAUUUCCUGAUUUUAAAUGGAAAUUAACUAUAUAUAUUUCUUUUGUUGCACAAGCAGUGAAAAGGUAAAUAUUCUUGACUGAUUUUAUGGCACAUUCUAUAUUUUAAAUAUUCGUUAAAGAUGGAAUAUAUAGAUUUUGUUACAUAAUUAAAGAUGGAAUCAUAUCAUUUCUUUGCAUAAGAAUCACAAGUAUAAGAUGCAACAAUAUCUUUAAUGAAUCUUUAGAAUCAGAGAAUCGGCUUAAAACUCGAAACGGUAAAUUUAUUAAAUUUUCACUUCCGCUCCGAGAACUUUGGGUGACAGAUCAGAGGAGACCUUGUCAGUAUUUAUUAACCAUUCACAUGGUAAAAAAAAAUGAUAUUUAACAUGAUAACUCAUACGCGCAUAUUAGCAUACACAGAACGCACGUGGCUAAAAUAAGCCGAGAGUUACAGUUCACCCAUCUUUUCUUUCCCUUCUCUCCUUCACCGUAUAAUAAGAAACAGUAAGCUCUUUCCUUUUUUUUUUUGAUUAACUUUCUCUGUGUGAGUUGCUGGUUUAUGGGAGAAUCGUGUCUCUUUGAUUAAUAUAAUAAUAAUAUUAAAAAAAGAGUUUGCAGAGAGUGAAAAGAUCUUGUGGGUUGGCCAUUAUAUAUGCAGGUCUUUCUCCAUCUUCUCCUCUUCGAAACUUACUGAAACUACUUUAGCUUUUCCUCGAGAAUCAUAACCCUAAAAAGGAACCAUAAUGGGUAAAGUCUCCUUCUUUAUGCUUCUUCUUCUUCUUCUUCUUCUUCUUCUCUGGUUGUUGACUCGUUUCAGUUUCUUGGUUUGGGCAAAAACAACCUUUAAUGGUUCUCUUCUGGGUUUUUUUCUGUUAUUUUUGACCUGUAACUCUGUUAGGGUAGCUUCUCUCUCUCUCUCUCUCUCUCUCUUUCUCUUUGUUCAGAAGAAAAAACAGAGAAAAGAGUUUUUUUUUUUUUUUUUGGGUAUUAUCAAAAAAGAGACUUUAUUGGUCUGAUGUGGGUUUUUGAAAGUUUUGGUUUUUAUGGAAUCUUUUGAUAUGCAGAUGUUAGCAUGAGUUUUUCACAGGAUAUGGAUGAUGAGUAUGAGAAGCUCAUCAGAAGAAUGAACCCACCCAGGUAUUACUUUUAACUUGUUUCUCCUAAUUUUUUUAAAAAGUUUUAUUAAUAUAUCUCUGAUAUGAUUUUGGAUUAAACCUCUGUUUUGUUUGUUUAUGUAGGGUUGUGAUUGAUAAUGACUCUUGCAAGAACGCCACUGUGAUAAGGGUACUUUUCUUUUAUCUUGUGGUUAUACUUAUUUAAUAGUCUAUAAGUUUUUGGUUUUCUCACACAUAUUCUUUUGUUUCUUAGGUGGAUAGUGCAAAUGAAUAUGGGAUUCUUCUUGAAGUUGUGCAAAUCCUCACUGAUCUCAACCUCACUAUCACCAAAGCUUACAUCUCCUCUGAUGGUGGUUGGUUCAUGGAUGGUAUGCUUCACUUUCUCAAUGCCUCUCUUUACUUAUUAUAUGUACAAAGAAUUGAGUCUCAUCUUUUCUCUGGCACUUGGCAGUGUUUAAUGUCACUGACCAAGAUGGGAACAAAGUCACUGACGAAGUUGUUCUAGACUACAUCCAAAAAGUGAGUUUUUUUUUUUAUAAAAAAAAACAAGAUUUGGUUCUCUUCAUCUUAUAUGAUACUAAUGAUAAUUAUGUGGUUAAAUUUCUCAGUCUCUUGGGCCUGAAGCUUGUUUCUCCACUCCCAUGAGAACCAUUGGUGUCACACCAUCAACAGACAGCACGGUCAUCGAGCUAACCGGCUGUGAUAGACCAGGUCUACUCUCUGAACUGACAGCUGUCCUGACCCAUCUAAGAUGCAGCGUCCUAAAUGCAGAGGUCUGGACACACAACACCAGAGCAGCUGCUGUGAUGCAGGUGACGGAUGACUCAACCGGGUGUGCUAUCUCUGACCCUGAGAGGCUCUCCCGAAUCAAGAACCUUCUCAGGAACGUCCUCAAGGGAAGCAACACGCCGAGGGAAGCCAAAACGGUUCUGUCUCACGGUGAGGUCCACACUGACAGGAGGCUUCAUCAGAUGAUGUUUGAAGACAGAGACUAUGAGCACCGUGCGGUGGUGGACGAUGAUUCAUCCUCAAUCCAAGAUGAGAGGCAGAGACCGGAUGUUUGCGUUGAUAACUGGCUUGAUAAGGAUUACUCAGUGGUCACGGUUAGGUGUAAAGACAGACCAAAGCUUCUGUUCGAUACUGUCUGCACGUUGACUGAUAUGCAGUAUGUGGUGUUCCAUGGAAGCGUGGACACUGAAGGCACGGAGGCGUAUCAGGAGUAUUAUGUGAGACAUAUAGAUGGUUCCCCUGUGAAGUCAGAGGCUGAGAAGCAAAGAGUCAUACAGUGUCUCGAAGCAGCUAUCAACAGAAGAGUGUCUGAGGGAUUGAAGUUGGAGCUGUGCACGACGGAUAGAGUAGGCUUGUUGUCGAACGUGACUCGCAUAUUCCGUGAGAACAGUCUAACGGUAACUAGAGCUGAAGUGAAAACCAAAGGAGGCAAAGCUCUGAACACAUUCUAUGUCAGCGAUGCGUCUGGUUACUCUAUUGAUGCCAAGACUAUAGAUGCCAUAAGACAGACCAUAGGCCAGACCAUCCUCAAAGUCAAGAACAACCCUGAAGAACAACAACAGAGACAAAAACCGCCUUCACAAGAAUCUCCAACUAGGUUCCUCUUUGGGGGUCUCUUCAAAUCGAAAUCUUUUGUCAACUUUGGCUUGGUUCGGUCUUACUCUUGAAGGAACAUGUUAGCUUAGGCUGUGAGAUUAAGUCUCUCGUUUAGUUUUUUUUAAUUGAUUCUUUAAACUUGAGAAGAAUCUGUAAAUAUUUCACCAGAUAUAAAAGCUUAGUUCUUGGUCUAGGAUCCAACGUUGUGUAAGGCAUAUUAUGACUAAAGAUUUAAGUGUUAACCUCCACUCUUCUGUAUCUAUUAUCAACUUCUCAUAAAAAAUCAUCUCCAUUGAAUCUUCUUCAGAUGUUGCAGCCUAAAAUGUUUCUGUCAAAUGAAAGUUUUCAUGACCUUAAACAAAUACUAUAUGAAAAUAAUGACAGAAUUAUGGUGGGUGACAAAUUUCAUAAUAUUUUUUUUUUUUGAGCAAUUGACUCUUUCUUAAUUGUAUGACAUGUAUGUUUUUUAUAUGGUAGUUUUGUAUAUUUUCUUCAGUUUAGAGCAUAUAUAUAGUGAAAUGUUAAUAGAAAUUACCAAAUGUAAAAAGAAGAUUAGAGGGACAAGACAACGUGCAGAUAAACUGUAGAACAUCACAACUAAUGCUCAUCACUUGGGUUAUAUAAAGAUCAAUGAUUCUAAGAGACUUUUAUUUUAUUUAUAUGCGGCAUACUCAUAUGUGGAGACCACAAAAGAGGUAUGGGAUAGCUUAUCAAACCAUACAACCUACUUAUUGGAAAACUGGUUUUGAAUUGGAAUUUUUACAAAAUACACUAAAGAUUACCAUGGGAGACGAAACAUAUAUAAAAAAUAUAUAACAAAAGGGGCAUGUGAGGGUGUGGACUGUGGAGAUAUUGUAUUGUCAUUGAAAACUUUAUGGGGGCGUGUUUACUGAAACUCUGUCGAUGGUGUGUGAAUAAUAAGAUUCGUGAGUCACAUGGAGAGGAGAGACCAAACAAAAGUGAAACCUCCCCACCACAAACAAGACUCAAUAUUUUUCCAUAUGUCAACACCACACUCUUUUUCACAUCCAUCGUUAAAUUUACAUGUUACAUCUCUUUUUUUUCUUUUAAUUGCACUAUAACAUAAAUACUAAACUAACAUAUUAGUAUCAUGUGACUCGUCUCUCUUCCCUUGUUCUCAAUCUCGAUACAUAGCUUUCUGUUCUGUGUUGGUGGAGGAUACUUCAUCGCAGAGGAAAUCUUUUUAAGUUUCAGUGAUUGUCUUCAGAUUUUUAAUUUUAUAGGCAUUACACAUUAAUCAUUUUAUCAUCUGUACUUGUACGAUCUUCACAACAACAAAAUAAGCAUUAUGAUUUUGUAUUAUACGCUUAAUAUGAAUGAUUUAUAUAUUUAAAGUAUGAUUUGAUAUUAAAACAUCUAAGUUACGUGAUAUAUUUAAUUAAAACACGAAGAGUUUUUCUUUAUAAGAAACUAAAUAAGAGCAUGAUUAAUGGAGAAGAGUUCUUAGACUAGAGCUCUUAGUUUUUAAUUAAAAAAACUAAGAACCGAUUCUUAAUAUGUUCUAACGCGCCUACGCGGCCACAUGUUUACAACAACAACGAUAACGCCUUCUUCAUGCUAAUAUUAACCCUCAUCUAUAAGACUAAACUUAACAUAUACAAACAAAGAAAACACACUAAACAUUACGUAAUAGAUGAUACAUAAUUAGAUAUCAUACCUAUCCAAACUAUUGACCGUUGACCAGUUCUAAUUGAUUCUUAGCUUUUUGCCAUAUUGAGCCAAUACACACAGCACACUUUCACCCAAUUUCUAUUUUUCUUUACUUUUUUUGUAUAUUUCGGAAAAUGAUUUUAUUAGUUGUUAUUGUUAUCCAUUCAACUUAUUACUCUAUUAAAAUCCUUAAGCUAAGCAACCAAUAUUCUUCCUCUUUAAAAAGAGAUUUUGAACCCUUUGAAAACCAAAAAAAACAAGCACCAGUAUCAAUAUCGAUAUCGCAAAACCCAAACACGAAAAAAUAGACGUGGUUAUUAUCAAGAAACAAGAAACAAGAAACAAGAUGGAGGAAGCAGGGCGUAAAGGAGAUCCGUUUCCGGGUUUUGAGAUGAGUGUUCACAACGACGACUGCGUUUUCCGGCGAUCUCUAAGCUGCCGGCUGCAGCGACGAGCUCCUUGUCCUCUCUUAUUACCACCAAGACCUCCUCCUUCUAAGGAAGCUCCUCCUUCUACGACUGGUGCCUCCACGUCUGCGUUAUGUCAAAACAGCACAGAUCCGAUCCCUCUAUUGUCCCCACUCGUCCCUCCUUCAAUGCUUCAACCUAAUCCAACCGCCAGCUCUCGCUGACUCUUUCUCUUUCCAAUCUCUUAGGCUUUGUUUUAUUUCUUGCAAUGACAGUGUUCUCCAUGUCAACUCAUUAUUACCUUUUUUAUAACGUUGAUUUUAUUUGAAUCCUUCACCAUCUAGAUUCAAAUACUGUCAUCAUUGUCUCUAUUCAGAUUCACAUUUUCACAAAGGUGCCGAGGAUCUCGUCAUUUCCUCUCUCGACCUUUUGGUUUUGUUAACAUCAUUUAUUAAUAUAUAUAUAUACACACUAAUAUGUUAUAAUAUUUUCUUAUUGAGCAUCAAGUAUCCUUGUCCAUUGACACACAAUGUUUCCCAAAGUUUAUUUUUAUCCAUGGAUUUUACAAAGCAUGUGAAUACCAAGAAGAAGAACAAGACGACCCCCUCCCCUUAUAGUUAGGUUGAUUGGGGGGAGAUAGAAGGCUAUAUUGGCUUGUACAUCAACUAUCUGUUUUUAUUGUUUUUCUUUGUUGGGCGGACCACAUAUCAUCGUGUCCACAAGUUGAGGGCUAAAGGAGACCUCCACUAGUGAGUCUGUGACACCAACGUUUGGGUCACAUGAAUGUAAGAAAUCAAACCAACAUCGUCAUUCGUCAACAAAGACAUAGUAUAAAAAUAAGAAAAACGUAUAAGGAGUUCUCAAACUCAAUGUUCUCUAUAUAUUCCUGAACCAGCAUAGCAAAUCACACCUAAGCCAGGUAGGGUACCACAAAGAUUAUUAUUGGAGAGAAGAUCCCGCAUCGGAUAUAUGAAAGGGACUUGAAUAAUAUAUAAGGGACUUGGGUCAAUCCACUAAUUGCCAAUUGGUUUUAAGUUGGAAGCCCAAGAAACUUAUCAUGGUAUCAGAGCGGGCCCAAUACCCUGACCCAUUAAUCCGGCCCGGACAGUGGCCCGAUCAUCCCAUUAGCUGAUGGCCCAUAGAAGGCUCAGUUCCGCCGAGAUCGCUAGAAAAAUAAAGCAUGAUUUCGGAGGGGAUAUGAUGGAUUCUGCGAGAUUAAUGGUUAUACGCACCAUUAUCUCGAGGGAGGGUAUUGGAGAGAAGAUCCCGCAUCGGAUAUAUGAAAGGGACUUGAAUAAUAUAUAAGGGACUUGGGUCAAUCCACUAAUUGCCAAUUGGUUUUGAGUUGGAAGCCCAUAAUAAACCCGAAUCUAACAAUUAUACACAACAGAAAACAACAACAUAAAUGAAAAUGAGUAAUACCAUAAUUUUUUGUAUAAAGGCCCUAAGUUUAUUAGAGACAUAAUACAUAUUUAAAUGAGUUUUAUAACCUAUAUAUAUGCGUUUAGCUUUUUCGUUAAAGAGGCCAACACUCAUAUAAAUUCGCAAACAAUAAAUUUGAACCGAAAAUAUUUGUAUUUUGUAUUAACAAAUCUUCAAAUAACUGGUAUAAUCCAAUGUACUUCCGGGUUCGGUUCUCAAUCAGUUCUUUGGUUUAAAAAUAUCUGAUUUAUACAUACUUUAUAACCAAAACAUAAGUAAAAUCGAUUAUUCGAGUUUAAAAUACCUAAUUUGUACCUUUUGUAAUAAAAACAUAAGUAAAAUAGAUUAAAAAAUAAGAAAAAAAUAUCAAACGUAAUCAUUCAAAAUCAAACAAAAGGAAUAUUUAUUAAUAAAAAAAAGCCAGAUAAAAAAAAGUAUAAAAUGAAAACUAAGUUCUCAUGAAAUAAGAAAUAUUUUUUAAUAAAAACAAAAUCUAAAUCUAAAUAUUCCAAGAUUCAACAGCCGCAUUCAACCAUUAACCUUCAUGUAAUAAAACCAACAACAUUCAUGUAAUAGAUAAGUAUUUUAGAUGUUCAAUAUAUCUUAAUAUAUUUUGAAUACAUAUUAGGAAUUGAGAUCAUAUGUUUGGUACAAGAUUUUUUUGGGGUUUGAAUGUUUCGGGUUCUAUGGGAUAUCCAUUUAGGUUCAGGUUCGGAUAAUACCCAUAACCCAAAAUACCAUAAAACAGGAUCUAUUCGAUAUUUAUGUCGGGUUCGGAUCGGUUCGGAUUCAUUUAUAUCGGAUCGGAUACAGUUUGGGUUUUCGGGUUCGGAUCGGUUCGGAUUCAUUUAUAUCGGAUCGGAUACAGUUUGGGUUUUCGGGUUCGGAUCGGUUCGGAUUCAUUUAUAUCGGAUCGGAUACGGUUUGGGUUUUUGGGUUCGGUUUAUUUACCCAGCCCUACUCGAGACUUUAACUCACAAAGAUAAUAGAAAAUACACAACAAAAAUGAAAAUAAGUAAUGAAAUAAUUUCUUGUAUAAAGACCGUAAGUUUACUGGAGACAUACUACAUAUCUGCAUGAGUUUAUAACCUAUAUGUUUAGCUUUUUCAAUAAAGAGGCCAAACACAGUGUUGGCAACACUCAUAUAAAUUCGCAAGUUAAACAAGAAAAUUUGAACCAAAAUAUUUGGAUUUCGUAUUUGUUGUAAUUGUGUGAGCCCAUGUCCAACUAUGUAUUGUUUGACUAGUACGAUAAUGUGCACUUUGGAUCUAAUAGACUGGUCUGCAUGGAUUUACUUUUGGGCUCCUUCCCAAAAGGCCUCGUACUAUUAGAGUUGGAUAUCUCUUUAUAUAUUAGACUAUCUUUGUCUAAUUUUCCAAUGUGAGACUUAGUUUGUUAUAUCACAUUCUCUCCCUCAAACUAAGGAUCACAUUCAUCUUGUGUCCUACAACUGACUUCCAUAAUCUUUUGACUUGAUCUGUGCCACAUACCUCCCAAUCCUAAUUUGAUGGGUAUCGUUCCUACUUGAAGGGUAUUUUGGUCUUCUUGCGGAUUUCUCGUCAACCGCGCUCUGAUACAAAUUGUUGUAAUUGUGUGAGCCCAUGUCCAACUCUGUAUUGUUUGAUUAGUACGAUAUUAUCAACUUUGGUUCUAAUAGGCUGGCCGACAUGGAUUUACUUUUGGACUCCUUCCCAAAAUGCCUCGUACUAUUAGAGUUGGACAUCUCUUUAUAUAUUAGACUCUUCUUCUCUAAUUCUCCAAUGUGAGACUUAGUUUGUUAUAUCAUAGUAUUAACGAGCCUUAUAUUUUAUGUAACUUAUUUACCCAUUUCCGUUAAUCUUUAAUAGUUUGUGUGAUAGAUAUCAUUUGUAGUUUGAAACAACUGAAUUCUUUGUAACAUUUUUUCUUUGUUUUUGGUAAAAUAUUAAAUUAUUAUCCCAAAUUUUUAAUUCUACAUAGACAAAACACAACAAACUAGUAGCAGAAGAACGUUAUUAAACUAAACAGAAAGAAUCUAAGCAACGAAAUAACUAAAUGAAGCAAGGAAGAAGCUGACUUUGGACAAUACUUUAACUUUAGCGCGAAGGACUAGAAAACGAGUCGACAACAGAGAGAGCUACCAGUCGCCACGAGCUACUGGAGAGAAAGAUGUUCUUAAACCUUGAAACACACAGCUCCUGCAGCUUCUAGAGAACUUAAACGUCACAAACUGCCCAAAGAAUCACAAUCCGAACUCGCUAGCUAACCCAAAAAACACCUAGCCGGCAGCACGACGAGGAUCUCACAACCGACAAUACCGUCGUUCGGAGAAGGUACUUUUCUUGUCAAAUGUAUUCCCUUAACAUUAUUUUUUGGAGCAUUUCAUAUUUUGUUUUCUUAAUUCUAUGAUUCUCCUUUUUGGGAUCCCUGUUGAUUCUUACCUCUAUUGUAGAGUUGAAGUUAAACUGCUAUGUUAAUUGUAAGGUGUGAAGUUAAACCGCUAGAGAGCAAACUAAGCAAGAAAAUAACACAUGCAUGUUUAUAUGAGUUUCACGUGAACAUUUAGUAUUACCAAUAUUACCUAUAUGCUGCAUUUAUUAAUCAGAAUUGAAAUUUAUAGUCAUAUUUCAAAUUUAAAUAUUAUCUUUUGGGAUUUGAGCACAUGAAAAGUUCAAUAAUUGUGUCAUAUUCUGUUGAUGGCUCCAACAGCUAUAGCAAUGAAAUCCUCCAUGACCAAUGUCAUCUCCAUAAGCCUCUUUGAGGUCUUGUCUGUGUUCUUUCCGACUUGAUCCUUCACGAUUUUUGUUUGGUCAAAACUAACCAUGAUAUCAUAGCUUGCAGUCUGCGCAUCGUUAUCCUCAAUUUCUAAUCGAGCACUUCUAAAAUUAUCCACUAUUGAGAUAUAUGAUUCAUAGCACAUCGUCUUAUUAAAUGUAGGCUCUUUUUCCAAUCCGGCAACGAAACCUGCCCUUUUUUUAGCUUGUGUCCUUACAAGGUCGACUGUGACUUUCACAAGAUUGACCUAUAUAUUAAAAAAAAACAAAAUUUUACUGAGAAUUGUAGUUUUUCAGGAAUAAUAAAUAUGCUACAAACUUUUUUGCAUAAUAGUGAUUACGUAUUUACAAAAUAAAGGCUCCGACUGGUGACAUAUAGUAUUAGAGUUGAAUUACAGUAUGAUUUGUAGUUUGAUGUAACUUGCAGUAAAACGUAUGUGGUAGAAACUGUAAGUUUAUGUGGUAAGUUUGCAGUAAAAAUAAAAGGUACCAUUUCAUUAAAAAUUAUGACUGGUAACAUUUUUGAUAUAUAAAUUGCAGUAUAGAUUUUGAAUUAAAAAUGAAUAUAUAAACCUUUCAAACCAUUAAGAUAUUUUUAAAUAAAUAAAAAUAAAACUUAUUUUAGAAAGAAUUAAAAGUUUGAAAGAUAAUUUUCAGUAUAUAUUAUAUUCUAAAUACUAUAAUAAUUAAUAAUACUACUUAUUCUAAUAUCAAUAAUAAUUUAAAUUAAAGGAAAUGUUAAUAAUAGCAUGAAAUUUAUAAGAAAAUUUAAUAAUUGGUUAUAUAGAAUUUUGUGACUGAUAUUUUGUUUGAACUAUCAAAUAAAAUUUACACUUAAGAUUUUUGUAAUAAUUGGUUAAAAGUUUGAAUAGAUUAAAAAAAUAGGAACAAUAAAGAUUAUAAAAUAUUUGACUAGAAGAAAUUUAGGUUAAGUAAUAGUUUCAAAUAAAAAUAAACUUAGAUUCUGUAAUGCUAUAAUUGUGGAAUUGAAACAUAAAUAGUAUUUAAAAUUUACAAAGCAACAAAAAAAAGUAUACGGCCACACACUGAAGUACUUGAAAGUCACGAUUUUUAUUUUUUUUAAACAGAAAAAUCAAUCAAAUUUGUAACUCAAGUUAUAAAACAUGGGAUUUUGGUUGAUGUAAGUUUUUGUUUUGAGUUAACAAUUUUAUAAAGGGCUUAAGUCAAAGUUGUAACUCAACUAUAACACAUCUUAAAUCAAACCUAAAAUCAAAAAUUUAAAUUUAAUGCAUGAUUGGUAACAUUUUUGAAUUACAAGCUUAACUCAAACUUAAUCAAACGUAAUUCAUGUCACCAAUCAAACCCAAAGCUCUUACGUUUUCCCAAACACUUUUUCAUCAAUACAUUGGUUUUUUUUUUUGUAACACUCCAAUGCGCUUGUUAAAAAAUAAUUAAUUUAAUAAAUAAGCAAAUAUGUCAGAUUUCAUACCAGUAAAAUCAAUGAAUUUAUCAAAUACUAAUUUUCUUUUAACUCUUAUAGAUUAACAUGAAUCUUAAACCCUAACCUCUUUUUUAUCUCCUCCCAACACAAAGAAAACUGGAAUCUAAAACACAAGACUGCAAAAUAGUUAAUUGCCUAUUUUAUGAUUUAUUUGUAGGAUUUUCUCUUAAUUGUUUUUUUUAUUUCGGUUUAAAACAAUUAGACCAUAAAUUAGACAAAGAAAUUUAAAUCUUUUGAAUGUAAAUUUUUGGUGUAAUAUCAAAUCAAAAACAAAUAACAGAAUUGUUGGACAAAGAUAGAAAAGAAAUGAGGGGUUAGAUAGUAAUAUACCAUGUUAGUUGCAGAGACGGCGGGAGGAUACGCUGUGAGCGUUUGCAGGCAUAACGUUUUGUUAUGGUUAUGGACAAAAGAAUCAUUGCAUAUGGAAUCAAUGUCUUUUGUUGAGGCCAUGGUCAAAGUAGAUCCUAAGAAAAAUAGUAACAAGACUAGCAGUGAAACAAGAAAAGAACAAUUAGAGGAAGAAGUCAUGAUUUACCAGAGAAUUUAUUUCCCUCAACCUCUAUUGUUAGUAUUCAUAUUGCUGUUCUACUUGAGUAUCUUUAUAUAUACAUUAAAAUUAUGGAUAGAAGGUAAAAAAUCUAUAUUAAAGGAAUUUUGGUCAUUUCACUGGAUUAGUAUCUUUUUCUUGGUCAAUCUUGGUGAAAACUGUUAUUAGUAUCUUAUGAUUUCUAAAUAUUUAAUUCUAUUUUAAGAUAAUCAACUUUCAACAUUCAAAAGAGAAUAAAGCUCUUACGUUUUCCCAAACACUUUUUCAUCAAUACAUUGGUUUUUUUUUUUGUAACACUCCAAUGCGCUUGUUAAAAAAUAAUUAAUUUAAUAAAUAAGCAAAUAUGUCAGAUUUCAUACCAGUAAAAUCAAUGAAUUUAUCAAAUACUAAUUUUCUUUUAACUCUUAUAGAUUAACAUGAAUCUUAAACCCUAACCUCUUUUUUAUCUCCUCCCAACACAAAGAAAACUGGAAUCUAAAACACAAGACUGCAAAAUAGUUAAUUGCCUAUUUUAUGAUUUAUUUGUAGGAUUUUCUCUUAAUUGUUUUUUUUAUUUCGGUUUAAAACAAUUAGACCAUAAAUUAGACAAAGAAAUUUAAAUCUUUUGAAUGUAAAUUUUUGGUGUAAUAUCAAAUCAAAAACAAAUAACAGAAUUGUUGGACAAAGAUAGAAAAGAAAUGAGGGGUUAGAUAGUAAUAUACCAUGUUAGUUGCAGAGACGGCGGGAGGAUACGCUGUGAGCGUUUGCAGGCAUAACGUUUUGUUAUGGUUAUGGACAAAAGAAUCAUUGCAUAUGGAAUCAAUGUCUUUUGUUGAGGCCAUGGUCAAAGUAGAUCCUAAGAAAAAUAGUAACAAGACUAGCAGUGAAACAAGAAAAGAACAAUUAGAGGAAGAAGUCAUGAUUUACCAGAGAAUUUAUUUCCCUCAACCUCUAUUGUUAGUAUUCAUAUUGCUGUUCUACUUGAGUAUCUUUAUAUAUACAUUAAAAUUAUGGAUAGAAGGUAAAAAAUCUAUAUUAAAGGAAUUUUGGUCAUUUCACUGGAUUAGUAUCUUUUUCUUGGUCAAUCUUGGUGAAAACUGUUAUUAGUAUCUUAUGAUUUCUAAAUAUUUAAUUCUAUUUUAAGAUAAUCAACUUUCAACAUUCAAAAGAGAAUCAUUACACAAAAGUCAUUGUGUUAAACAUCAUAACUGACUUGCGAAGGGCUCUGUUAUAAUUUCCCCCAAAAAUAUAAUCUCACAGAUAUUAAGUUUUUUUCUUUUUCUUAGUCAGUUAAACUUUUAGAUUACAAUGUUUAAUGUUUUCAGAUUCCAUGGGGUAGGUAACUAAAUUUAUUAGUUAUAAAUAUAAUACAUUUAUUACGCCUUUGUGAAAGCUUUAAUAAAUUUAAUGAAGAUAUAUAUACUACUAUUUGAAAAGUGAAUUUGCUUAUUUGUCAUAUUCUUUAUAAUUUUAGGGCUGAGUCAUUAGUUUUAAUAAAUAAUUUUAAUUAAACUAUAAUUAAAAUAUAAUUCAUUAUUUAUCUGAUUACAAAUUAAUAUUAUAAAAUUAUCUCAAAACAAUAAAUGGAAAACAUUUUUGAAAAAAAGAAAAGAUAAUUUCAUUUAUUUAUUUUGUGUUGAUCUACAUCUUUCUUUCUUAUUCACUUUUUUAUAAUUAGUAGUAUAUAUAUACAUAUAAUAAUUAGAUUUAUCAUUAUACUAAAAUAUUAAAAUAGGUUUAUAAAAAUAUCAAAAUUUGAUUUAUAUUUGUUUGUAAGUGUAAUAUGUCAUGGAAUAUGUUUUCUAAAUUAUUAAAUUUAUUUUAGUAUUAAAAUACUAAAAAGAUGUAUAUGAUUAAUAACAAUAUAUUUUAUUUAUAUUUUUUUGCUAUUCGUGAUUUGUUAAAUAUUUAUAUUUUUAUAUAAAUUUUAUUUAUAUUUUAUUUAUAUUUUAUUUAUAUUUAUAUUUUUAUUUAUAAAUAGAGUUAAUUGUAAUAUAAAUUUUAUUUAUAUUUUUUCAAAAUUGAAAUCAUAAAUAGGGUUUCCAAAAGAGAAUAUUUUCAAAAUAUUAAUUUAAAAUUCACUCUACUUACUUUUAUUUUUUUCAAGAAUUUCAGAGAAUGAUAACUUUUUUUUAAAUUACAAUUUUAUUCAAAAGAAUAUUAUGUAAAGAAAAAUGUGAUUAUAUUUUUAUAGAAAAAAAUGUAUUUUUCCAAAUUACUUGUUUUAGUUAUAGUUAUUAAAGUUUGAAAGUUAAAAGACUAUUUUGAAAAUAAAAAUUAUUUUUUUAUACUGAAAAAUAUUGUAUAUUUAGAAGAAAAUAGCAUGUUUCUAUUUUAAAUGAAAAAUAGAGAUUGACUAUAACAUAUUUUCCCCACUAUUAUAGCAUUUAGAAUUGUAUAAGAAUAGGUAACAAAUGUUCUUAACUUAUACAUUAUAUAUUAAUGUUUUAUUUAUUAACAUGUUUGAGUGUGUAAUUAUGGGAGGUAUUUCACAAUAUAAUUAUAAAAUUCAAAGUUGCUCAAAGGUUUAUUUUAUAAAAUUCAAUCAUUUUAUUUACUUUGAUUAAUAUAAUAUGUAAAGUUGGGUUAGGUUGAACAUUUUUUUUGCUUUUCAUUUAUUUGAAAAUUUUGUAGGUUUUGGUAAUUUUAAUGAUUUGGUUUAAUAACAUCACUUUGUAUUAGCAGUUAUACAUAUUUUUCUUUAAUUAUAUCAUUGGUUAUAAAUUAAUAUAAUAAAAAUUGUUUAAAGAUAAUAAGAUAUUUUAAAAAUAAUAAGAUAUUGAUAUUGCUAUCGAAAAAUAAUGUUUUAAAAUUAAUAAAAAAUAAAAAUUAAGAAAUUAAAAGAUUCAUAAAAAUAUUACCAAUUUAAUGUUUGACUUCAAAAUUUUGAUCUUUAAAUUUAAUAGUAUAUUUGUUAAUAAAUAUCUAUAAAAACAAUUAUGUCCGCAUGUGCGGACAAAGAACCUAGUUAUACAUAUUUAUCAAGAUCUUUCUAAAUUUUAAAAAGAUACUAUACUUAUUCUGGAAGAUUUUUCUAAACUCAUAUUUAGAAAUAUAUUAUUCACUGUAAGAAAGUCUUCCUAAAAUAAAAUUCAAAAAAUAUAAUACUUACUCAGGAAUGCUUUCUAUUCAAGAAAAUUUAUUUAUUAAAAAUGAUUGAAAAAAAAAACUAAAAAGGAAAAUUACAAAAGAAAAAUAUUUGGGAAAAAAAUUCAGAAAGAAGUUUUUAAUAUUUUUUAGAAAAUAAAAAAAAAUUAUUUUUCAAUAGUUAUAUAAAAAUUUGUAUAUUUUAAUAUAUCUUUAAAGUAUGGAUAUAACUGUCAAUUACUUUUUAAUGAUUGUUAUUGGUUUAUAUAUUUUGAUUGAUUUAGAAAUCCAUAUAUACUAAAACCUAGAAAUCAAGAUUGUUAAGGGGGUCUUAUUGGACUGAGAGUUUGAGAAAAUUCUGGGAGUUUUAGAUGUAGUGGAAUUUGGAUAGAAUUUGUAGAUUUUGAUAAGGAUUUGGAAGAUUUGGAAGUUUUUGGUAGGAAUUUAAAAGUACAAUUUUGGUUUUAUUUUUCUAAGAGACGGGUAAUUUGUAAGAUUUUUUAAAAUUUUUUUAAAACAAAAUAAAAUAAGCUAGGUCUACCAUAAGUUAUCACAAACGCAGAAGAUCAUUUCAUCGGCUUCAUCUCUGUCUAUAAUUUUUUUUUGUAUUUUUCCCUAAAGCUUACAUAUUUAUCUCCUCUUGCUCUCUUUUGACCUUACGGCAUGACACAGAAACAAUAAUCAUACACCCUCUCCUCUUACAUGAAAAAAAAUCUUAAAUGAAGAAUUUCUCAUGUCAUUAUCAAUGGUCCAACCUUUAAUUAUUUUAUUCAUCACUCUCACUAUCUCUUUCCUGCUAUAAAACAAAUUUCAUAAGAAUAAAAAAUGGAGUAUUUGUAUCUCUCUUUUUCUCUGAGAGCUUCCAUUUUUGAAACCAGCAACAACAAAGCUUUGAUUCAACCUUUUGAAUUUUCUGUUUAUUUCAAAAAAAUUAUGGGGACAAAUAUAAAUUGGGUUUUCUCAGAAAGCAAAACAACUCAGAUUUUCCUGUAUCAUUCAUCAAUUCCACGACCACCACCAUUAACUAUCCAAUCCAACACAAACUUCGACCUAGACAGCAAAAUCAGUCCAAUAUUCUCCUAAUAAUCAUGAUCAUAUCGGUCAUCUUCUUCAUCUUCGGUUUAUUCCUGUUUACACCACCGGAAGAGACAAAGGAGAUUACUUCGACAAAAGGGACUGAAAGUUGUAUCUAUUAUUCUCCAAGAAUAAAAAAAAUUAGGUCAAAAGUUAAGAAAAAGAAAACCUGUGAAUUUUUUCAAAUACCACCUCACAUGAUGGUAUUUUAACUACAAAUCAUUUUCAAAUACUUCCCAAAUACUUUAUGAGAUGUUUUAUAGAUGAAAUCCUUCUUUUCCAAUAAGGGUGAAUUUGAUAGAGUUUGUAUAAAUGAUAGAUCAAUUAAGCAAGGAUUUAAGAUAAUUUUUGUAAAUACUAGAUCCAAUAAGGUGAGAUUUGGACAAAAAACAAAAUCCUACCAAAUCACCAAUUCAAUAAGCCCCCUAAGUAAAAUAAGCAAAUCCGGAGGUUUUACCUCGGAUUUGAGUCUUUGUAUUUUUAACAAAAAAUCCAAAAAAAGCCAUUCAAAUCCAUUAUAAAAUCAAAUAUAUUAGUAAAUCCGUAUGAUUGAAUAACACUUGAUUUGAUAUAGAAUUUAUGAAUCAUUAAACCAAUAACACAUGAUUUUAAUACAGAUUUUAAAAUUAUAGAAACACUAGAUUUAGUUCGGAUUUUCAAAUCCAUUAAAAUAAAACAACCAAUAACCCCUACUUAGUCAUUUUGGUCCUUGUUUUUGCUAUUUUAUGAUAAAAUUUUUUUUAAGAUAAUCUUAGAGUUUUUCUCUUAAAUUUUAUAACACAUAUCAUCUUAGCACUAGGGAAAAUUCAGAACUCGUCCAAUUCACUUAAAUCCAAUUAAUAAAUUAUUUAAUGUGAGUAAUUUUGAACUAACUUAUAAGAUAACCUGAAAUUUUUUUUAUAUACUGAUUAAACUCAUUCCAAACAAAAACUAAAAAUACAGUGCUAAACUGAGUUAACUACAAAUUAUUUUAAGCUUAUAUUAUUAACUAAAAAUCUAUUAUUAAAAUCAUGAAAUUAUUAUUUAUAGUAUAUUUAUUAAACUAAAAUAAAUAUAAUUAAACUUGAAUAUAAUUUAUGUUUAGCGGGAAAAUUCAGAUUUUUCGGUUUGGUGGAAAUUUUUAAUUUUCUUGGAGAGAAAAUUCAAUUUUGUGGUUUUGUAGGAAAAAUCUGAUUUAUGGCUUUGGCAGAAACUCCUGAUUGUAUAGUUCUCGUGGAACAAUUCGAUUUUGUUGUUUUGAAAAUUCGAUUUUGUCAGUAAAAACUUUGAUUUUGUAGUUUUGGUGGGAAACCGGAUUUCAUGAUUUUAAUAGAAGAAAAAAAAUCUGUUUUCGUGAUUUUGGCAGAAAAUUUGAAAUUGUGAUUUUGGCAAAAAUGUGAUUUUAUGGUUUUGAAGUAUCUCUAUAAUAUUAUUUGAGAAGUCAGUUUCUUAUGUGUCGCGCUCACGUUAACUUUCACGAUGGUUGAUUACACUGAUACCCUUAAUGAGUUAAAAAUAUUACAUUUAAAUACUAUUAUUGAUUUUUUUAUUUAGUUUCCUUUUUAAAUCUUUCCAAAUAACAUAUAUAAUAAAAAGCAAAUAUUUAUAAAGUUUAAAAAGCAAAUCUAAAAACGAAAAUAUAUGUAUAUAAAAUAUGAUUUCAUUAAAAAGGAAAGUUCAAAAAAUAGUAAUAUUUCAUUUAAAAAAAUAUUUAUAAAUAACAUAAAAUAUACUUUUGAAGUAAUAAAAUAGUUUUUUUAUAUCUAUAUUUUCUUAUAUGAAAAUAUAUAUUUGUAUAUAAUGUGAAUACCAAAGAAAAUCAAGUAAUUACAUAAUAUUUUAAAAUAGAAUAACAGUACAUACUUUAACGAGGGAGAUAUAUUAUAUUUUAUCAUUAUUAAAAUUAUAUGUUUUCUUAAUAUAUAAUUUGAUUUUAAAUUUUUUAUGUUUGUAGAACUUAAUAUAUAAUCAAGAUACCAAAGAAAAUCUGAAUUCUCAUUUUAAGAUUAUUUAAAAUAAAUUUCAAUUUACAAUUCAAUAAAUAUUUAUAUGUGUUCAUGAACUUCCAAAAAUAGAUGAGUUACUUAUGUAUGUACUUAUAUAUAUGCAUGAGACUUUAGAGUAUUAUCGUUAUAUUAAUUUAUGUAAUUUGGAGUCAGACACUUUAAUUUAUUUUUUAUUUUAUUCUAAGCACAAUAUAUCUUAAGGUAUACAUAAUUUUCUUAAAAUAUAUUUACAUAAAGAUAACAACCAACCUAAAUGCAAAUAAGAAAAUUAAUGAAAAUUUUAAUAUAUUUAGAAUAAAACAUUUAAUAGUUGAAUUCAGUAGAUGCAAUCGAAUAUAUCCAAAUGACAACUAUAAAUCGACUGUAAAAUAAACCGGUUAGAUAUAACAUAUCUAAAAUAAUAUGUCUAACUAAAGUAAUAUAAUAUAAAUUAUGCACACAAAUUAUAAAUUAAUUUAAAAUUUAAAAUAAAUAGCAAUUAAUUAUUAUAAUAUAUUUAUUUUAUAAAUAUUUAUAUCCGUGCAUGGCACGGGAAAAUCAACUAGUUGUUUAAUAAUUGUAGUAGUUAAUCAAAUUUAUUUUUAUAUUUGUAUUUAAGGUAUUUAAAUCUUUUGGAUUUUACGGUCCAAAAUCUUGCAUCCCACAAAAUAUCUAGACUUUUUGUACAUACAACCAGAUACAUUAUUUAGAUGUUGAUGCAAUAAUGUUCAAACAAAACAUUUAAACAUCAAGAUGCUGCAACCAAAUACAAAACGAAAGAACAUGGCUUAAAUCAUGGGAUGAAGGAAGCAUGAUGAUGAAGGAGAAAGUCCGUACAGAAAUAACAAAAUCGCUUAAACUUGUAGUACUCAAAUGCAUUAACAUGGCAACCAAAUUCCAGUUGGUCGCGGAAUAUCUCCCCGCUUUUGCGCAUAAGUCAUAUCGAAACCAAUUUCAUAUAAGGACAAGUUUUAAUCCUAACACUUUUACCAAAAACAAUGUUAUUAGUAAGCAUAAAGCAUUUUCUUGGAAUUCUUAGGAAUAUAACUCAAUUUUUCUCAAUUAUCCAAUAAAAAGAAAAAACCAUAAAAACAGCACCAAAAAGUAGUUGAUAAUGGUAUCUAACGCUUUCUCUUCUUGUUGCCUUUGCCUUUACCAAGUUGUCCAGACUUGAAGGCAUGUUCUUGUUCUUGAAGGAAAGCCAGAUUCUUGCCAUGUUUCUCUGCCCUCUCUUGCUCAUGCACAGCCUUUUCUUUUGCUUUCACAUCGCUCAUGAAGUAGCUGUCUUUGCGCAGCUCUCGCACUACUCCUUUCCUUUCCUCAUUUAGCUUCUUCUUCAACUUUUUCAUGUCUGAACGGUACUUGUCUGGAUCGUAAUCCCUGCCUUUGGCAAAGCUGCACAACAAACAUAUAUACUCACCGUUAUAACGAUCAUCCUAAUGUAAGUACAACUGAUUGAGGAGAAAGAGACUUACUUCUCUUCAAAUUUGGGAUUGACCAUUCUGAUGGCCACUGGCUUUUGCUUACGCAUAGCGAGUGGUUUGCGUUGCUUGUGAUGCUCCUCAGUUUUCUUUUCGAUUAGCUCUGCGGCAUCUUCUAACUUCUCCCUAAGAGUCUGUGGGAUCUUUUCUUGAUUCCCAACUUGGUGUAGUAAAGUUGAGAUGGGCAUGAACAUCUCUGGAAAGGAACUCAAACCUCCAUUUAUCUCCACAAACCCUCUGAGAGUCUCCACCACACUUGAAAGGAUGCUUGCUCUGUUUCAUCACCAAACGCCAAAAGUAUUACACACACUUCCACUCUUGUGCUAUCUUAAACUAAAAAUUGAUUACAGAAGAGACAACAGACCUGAAUUCAUCAGAGCUGAAAUAUGGAGAGUCUGCAGGCUGAUCCAUUAUCUUUAAGAAGUCUAAUGGCACAACCUCCUUUACGUCGUCUUGUAUGCACAGGAAUGGAGUCAGCGUUUUUAACUCCAUGAAAUGAUAAAACUGUAACAAGAUACACAACAGUUCAUCAGCUUGGUAACAUCACUUGCCUAUGCGCAUCUUGAGUUCUUGAGUCAUAAGCACAAAUAUAAAAACGAAUGUACCUCAGAUUCUUCAGAUGGUGGUAAAUUUUUGUCUGAAGCAGCCAUCAGAAGAGUCCGGAUAAAUAGUAUGGCUUCAGGGCAAAACUUUUUGGAUUGUUUAGCAACCUACAGUUAAUUUUGUUUACAUGAGAAAAAUUGAAAAAAAUGUAAAUAGCAGAGGAAAAGAGGUUGGGAUCAACGUCUCCUUACCAAGAGAACAAUGGAGCACAAGAAGGAACCUAUGGCAAUAUCACGACCAGAGGAGAUGGGGCAGCGCAUGAGAUAUUCACACAUCAACAAUAUCGAAGGGGUCAUCACAGCAUGACGAUAGUCAGAGCACGGAAAAAUCAUGGACCAAAGCCUCAAGAGAAACAAAGUUUUUAAGGAAGGCCAGCAUCCAUCCUCUGCAAGAAUGUUUCUGAACUUGUUAAGGAAAAAGAAUGCAUCUUACAAGACACUAAAACUACAGGCUAUGGAAGCAACACAAACCUGGAUUCUUGAUAGCCUCGCAAAAUUGUGCACGGGUCUUCAGAAGCCGUUGUCGAGCACAGAUUGCAGCAAAGUAGGGAAUCUCCCCGCUCAUCUCGAUCAAAGGUUUGACAAGCAUGUUUAGUAGCUCAAUGUUCAAUGGCUUCUUGUUUGCAAGAACGGCAAAAUACUGCAGGAGAAUACCAUAAAAGACCUACGUGGCAGACAACAACAACAAACCAAAUCAAGGGUCUGAAAACUUAAACCAGCAAAAGCUGCAAACAGGUAAACGGUAAUGUUAUCUCCGAGUGCAAAAUAAAAGAUUACCUGCAUUUUUUUCCUGUUUUCAGCUGCAAGCUUAAUUGAAUCUGUUGUCCGGAUACGGUUUACAAUUGUAACAACAUCUGCAUUAGAUCGAUCUUCUACUAGAGCAAUCAAUUCCUCGAAACUCUUUGGAGCAUGAAUCACGUAAGGAAUAUCAUGCUGCGUUGAAUUCAAUUUCUUCAUGUUGGUUGAUUGUUUCACUGUUCCAGUUGGAGCAGAAGAGUCUUUCUUUGACUUUUUAUGCACUAUUGGCUCCGCUUCUUCAUCAUCAUCAUCAUCUUCUUCUUCUUCAUCAUCAUCAUCAUCACCACCUUCUUCCAGCUCUGCCUCUAGCUCAUCAUCACUUUGUUCCCAGUCCUUUAAAGGAUGACCCUUUCUCUGUUUCUCAUCACCCCCAUCUGACUCCUCAUCAUCAUCAUCAUCAUGUUCUUCCUCUCCUUCACUUUCUGAAUCCUCAUCAUCACCCUCUCGUUCAAGAACAUCAUCAAUCCAUCCCUUUUUAGGCUGCUCCGCAUCAACUGAGAAGGAAUCACCAAGAUCAUCGCCAGAGAUGACUCUUAGCCUCUUCGAUGAUUCCUCACCACCAGUUUCCUCAUCCUCGUCGCUCAAAUCAUCAGUUUCUUGCAUCCUCUUCUUACGUUUUUCCUAAGAGUGUUAAAAAAAUUGCAUCUAGAUCAAAUAACGUCGACCAUAAGACCUUGACAACACAAUCAGAACAGAACCCUUCUUUACCUCAAGUUCCUCCAACUUUUCACUCUCUUCCUGGGCAAUUUCUUCAGGUGUCUUUGUUCUAUCAGUAGGACGACCACGACGAUCCGACGCCAAAUCAUCCAUAUACAUUGCAUAUUUAUCAUGUGGCUCCUGCAGACAAAAGGGAUUACAUCAAACAUAAGAAAACUCGCCUAAAUAACACAAAACACUUGCAAAAUGUAGUAAUCGUUUACGUCUUUGACGGUAAAAUCUUGAGUUAAACUCUUCAUCGCGUCAGAGUUUUCCAAGGACAUGAGUUCUUUAUUCAGAUCAUCCAACAACUUCUCCUUUUCCUCCUUGUGCUUAGCUUUCUCCAUCUAAACCCCCACGUAAAUACAAAACAAGUAAACAACUAUAAAUUGACAAUCCCAUGAGAAAGAUAAAAAGGAAAACAGUCGAAUACUCACCUUGCCAAGUUUGCUCUUCAUGAUGAUCUCAUCCAUGACUUCCUUCUUGCUCUUACGCCUCUGCAGAGAGACUCCAAAAAAAAAAAACAUCAGCAAAGCCUAACGUGAGGUAUAAUCACACUCAAAAGAUCUGUUCUCACCUCUUCCUCUUCAGGCGAGUCUUUGUGCCGAUGCCUCACUCCUAUUACAAGAAAUGGUUUGAGAAAACAUUAGCUUUUCUCAAGGCUCAUCACAGACACAUUCAAAAAGGUAAACAAACUCAAUGAACAUACUCAUUGAUCCAGCAUCUUCAACACCAUCAUCCUGAAGAUCUUCAUCAGACAAAUGCACAGAAUCAAAAUCAUCCCUUGCAGAAGAAGAUUCACCAAGAGCACCAUCUCCAUAAACAUCUUCCUCCCCAUCAGACAAGUUAUACAUACUCUUCUUCGCUUUCAACUACCAAUAACAAAAAAAAAAACAAAAAGAUCAAAACUUUGCCUACUUGAGAGCAUAUGGGUUCUCUCUUAUACCUGACGAGCUCUCUGAGAUCGGAUUACACCUUUAUCGAACUCCCCAAGCUCGUUAUCAUGCUCUCCGAUACGCUUAUCCAUAAAAACCGAAGAUUUCAAGCUCUGCUCGUACUCUUUAAGCAGCGUGUUCUUCCUCUUGUCGACGGCGCGGGACCUGGAGAGACCCACGCGGCGUUCCUCGCCUUUGCGCUUCUUCCCGAGGACGUCGAACUUGCGGCGAGCCCAGAUCGAUUCGAAUGGGUUGUCGGCCUUCUUGGCCUUGGCUUUCAUGGCCACUGCGUCUGGUCCCAUCUUUUUACCGCCUUGUUUGUCAGAUUGGUUCUUCUUCUUCCCCAUGGCUUUCAAUCAAGCUUCCGCGGCGGUGGUGGUGGUGGCGGCGGCGUCUAGGGUUUUACGAGAUAUCGACCAGGGUUUUGGUUGGGAUUUCAAUUUUUCUUCUUUUAAAGAGUAUCGAAUAAAGAAGCUCAGUGACGUUUGAAAUAGGAAGAAGACAAACCGGUUUGGUUCGAAUCUAAUUGGGCCUAUAAGCCUAUAUUCUCUUGUGGGCUGUGGCCCAGUUUUCUUGAUCAAGAAUCAACUACAACAGUAAGAUAGAUAGAUGUCCAUAUUUUCUAUCUAAUAACUCAGUCUUUUUCUAUUUUUAUGAUAACUUUUUGAGCAAUCAUGUAUGAACUCUUUGGUUUAAUAAGUAUUGAUCAUCGAGUCGAAGGUCCCAACCGAACACUACUUAUUAUUGCUACUGGCCUUGUGAUAUUUAACAUAACUUAAAAUAGUAAAACGUGAAGAUGACAAAUAUGUAAAUCCCUCAAACUGGAAGAUGAUAUCAACAUAAUUUGUGUGCUCCAAGAUAUACUCGUAUGAAGUGAGGUCAAUCAUAAUUCAUUUAAUUAAAGAAAUAUUUCAUUUAUCCUCGUAUGACUCGAGGUUGGAUUUUUUUCAAGUUUGUAUUUGGAUUUGAAGAUUCUAAAUUUAGUAUUGUAGUUACUAUUUUAUACUCCCUUGCUUUAAAAUGAUGCAUGUUUUAUAAUUAAAUUCUAGUUAUAAAUGUAUAAAUUUUUGUGAUUAUCUAUUUCCCAUUUUGAACCACUAAGAAUUCAAUAAGUGCAAUGAAUCUUUUGAAGUUUAUAAUUUAUUAUUAUUUGAUAAAUAUGCAUAUUGAAGAUAUAAAAAAAAUAUUUUUGAAACAUUUUUUUCCAAGACAUGUGUCUUUAUAAAAUGAAGGGAGUAUUUAGUAUAAUUGGCACAUCCGCGCAUAUAUUUUUAGCAUAUUAACAACAAGUUUGACUGAGUGUGCAUGCAUAUCUCACCCAAUAGCGACCAGAUUAUUUUAAUUUCUAGUGUUUUUUGUCAAGUGUCACCAAUGGUCUGGAUAUGUUCCUCAUGACACUUUAUUAUGCAAUUCAAAUCUAUUUUAAUUCAUUUCUUUUUUUUCUCCACAUUGGGCUUUAUUCCAAUUUAUGAACCCCUUAUAAUGAAACUUUGGAGGACGAUGUUAGUGAUUUCAUAAAUGAUCCAAUCACCGGAGGAAACAAAUUUGUGAUAUGGUAGUAUGAUCAACUACUUAUACCACUACUUCAAUUUAAUUUUGCCUGAGUUUGCAGUUUUAAAUACCUUUUUGUGAUUAUUUGCGGAUAAUCACAAAAACAAUAUUCGAAAAAAAAUCAAAAACUGAUGUUAUUGGAAAAAUAUCAAUAACCAUUGGAACUAAGCAAGAGCGUAAAUUUGUAAUGCUGGUAUACAUUCAAUACAUGGUUGAUUAUUUCUUCUUUUGCUCCAGACCUUACGAACUAUGUAUCACAUUUACUCUUCUUCUCAUUAAAUUUGAUAUAACUGUAAUAGUCCAACAUAAUUUUUUAAAUAAACAAUGUCAUUGUUUUGGUGGCACUUGAAUUUACAAGAGUGGGCCUGCAAACAUAUGUUUGUUUUAGCUAAUCAAAAUCUUUAUUUAACUGAACAGCUAUAUCGAGAAGCAAAUUAAUGAUAAUAAGUUUGAAAAGGGGUAAACUGAACCAGUUUCGUCAUUCGUUCUCUCCGACCUUAAAAUAUAUUACACGUUUUGCCACGUAAUGAACACAGAAAUUUAAUUGUAUCAUCAUUGUUGAUUUUAGAAAUCUAUAUAAAUGGAAUUGUUUCAUGAGGCAAAGCAGCCAAGGUUACAGUUGUAAACGGGUUCAAGAGACAGAUCAAGGUCGUUCCUCCUCAUUGCCAUUGAAUCUUCUUCUUGAUACAGGCCACUGCAUUCACGUUCAUAUACACAUGCAUGAUAUAACUUAUUAACUACUUAAGUGCACCGAAAAUUAUAUGUUCCGUCCUCAAAUUGGUAAAAGUCCAAAUUGAAGUACCAAAGAGUGUUCAGUAAUCUGCCUAACUUAUUUUCAAAAACAACAAGAAAAUGGAACUGAUGAUCCCAACAGUUUCGUAGGCUUUCCACAGCCAUUCCAAAAUCUAAAUCUGUUAGUUCAUCGACCAUUGCAUUAACCUACGUUAAUGUAUGAAUAAUCUUAGUGGAGUGUAGUCAUAGUUCACAAUUUAGACAUCUAACCAUCACCUAUACACCUAGUUGAACUGGAACUAUAGCACCUUACUAGCUUGUAUACAAGGUAUAUAUGUCUACUAUAUAAAUACUUGGAAGUAAGAGCAAAUUAGUAAAAUUUAAUUACCCCAUAUUGAGAAAAGGAGAUGGCUGAUGAGAGAGCAUGUAUGGAUGCUGGAUUUGAUGCUGCUGCGGGGGAGGAGGAGGAGGCAUAUUGUGGCCAUGGUUUUGCUGGUCCCAUUGCUCUUGUUGUGCCCCAAGAAUCUUUUCCCUUUCCUUGAUCUGACAAGUUCCAAUUUCACACACCAAUUUGUUAUCAACUUAUUCCAUACCAUAUUAUAAUCUACAUCGUUUUUCAAAGCGUCGACUUCAUAAAUACUUAGAUAUGUGGCAUCCAAUGUAAUUACAUUUAGAUCUACGGUUACUACUAAUUCCUUUCAUAAACUAUUGUACAUGUGUUAAAUAUAUAUCUUCACACACUGUUUUUUACUUGCUUCCAAAUUUUAGCCCAAUAUUUUUAAUUAGGAGUAGUGUCUAUAUUCACAUACUUAAUAUACAGAUGAACCGAUCUAGUAGAGGUAGAUGAGACGACGUUUUGAAGUUCAAAUAUUUUCAAUCCGAGAGACAACUCUAAAACUACACGGACAAAGACAAUCUACGUACCGGCUGAUGAUGAUUAUAUAAAAAAUGCAAAUAUCUUCUAUCUACGUUUUAAUUAUGAUGACCAGAACCUAAGCGGGGAUGUGAAGAUCUAAUCUCGUAGAUAGUUAUAGACUUAUAGCUUGGCUUGAAAUGCGGAGUAGAACAGUGGAAGCAAGCAGUAAUGCGAUGGAAAACAUCUUCACAUAAUAUAAUUAUAAAAAACAAGUGUCACCUC
rnacentral:lncRNA from 1 species